ACUCUCUCUCUCUUUAAUUUGCUCUCUUAAUCUCUCUCUCUCUCUCUCUCUUUAAUUAAUUAUAAUUAUAUAUAUAUAAUUAUUUAAUUUUCACUUAUAUUCUUCAUUGUAGUUCGACGACCUCGUUUCGCCGCCUUCUUCACGACACCCAGCCGGAAACCACCACCGUGCGCUUCUCGUAUUUAUUUAUUUAAUUAUUUAUGAAUUUAUUUAUGUAUUUAUGUUAAUUAAAUAGAUUUAUUUGUUAGAUCUAGUUAAUUAAUUUAUAAUUGGCUUUGUUUAUAAAUAAAUUAUAUGAAGCAUGAUUAAUUUUAAAUUAUAUUAAUUGAAGCAUGAUUAAUUUUAAAUUAUAUUAAUCAAUUAAUAUAUGUUGUUAGUUUAAUUUUAAAUUAUGAAGCAUGAUUAAUUUUAAAUUAUAUUAAUUUUAAUCAAUUAGUUUAAGUUGUUUGUUAGAAUAAUUUAUAUAUGUUGGAUAAUUUUGUUAAAUUAAAUGUUAUGUGCUAUGUGUUUAUGAAAUGUUAUGUUAUUAUAUAUAUUGUGGGAUAGAUUUAAUCAAUUUCUUAAGGAUCUUCUCCCUUUGGGAUAGAAAUUGAUUAUUUCUUAAGGAUCUUCUCCCAACAAAUGAUUAUUUUUAAUUUAAUUACCCUGAUUUUUAUUGCUUUUAUUUGUAUUGUAUUAUUGCUUCGACAUUGGGGGGCCGGGUAGACCUAGUAUAGGCUUAGUAAAUUAGGACCACUAUGGUCACUAUAGUUGCUGGUAGAGUCGAGCACUUGGUAGUUAGGAUAGUGGGGUUAUGCUGUCGAAAUUAAGCAGACAUUCUUGUUCAACUGUGAAUGGUUUGACUUGUCGGCUCAAGAAACUUCUAUUGAUACAGACUUCAAGUUAGUUUCAGUGAACCACACACGAAGAUAUAAGAAGUAUGAUCCAUUUGUUUUGGCGAGUCAGUAGUUCAAGUGUUUUACUGUCCUAUCCCAGUACGAACCAAUCAAAGAAAAAAUUGGUGGUCAGCAUGCAAAGUCAACGCAAGAUCAAAGGUUGAAGUGUCUACUGCAGCAUCUACAUCAACAUUAGAUCAACCAUUUCAAAAAGAAGUGGUUACUAUUAUGUCUACUCACACAAGUGUAGGCAUUGAACAACCACUUCUUCUUCAUCCCCUCGGUGGAGUCGUUGGAUUGAAGAUGAGAUGAACAGAGACGAGAUCCCCCGUUGACAUCUAACGAUAGUGAUGAUGAUAGUAGUGUAUUAUGAAUAAAUGUAAAUGCACAUUUUGAUUGAAUUUGAAAUUUGUUAUGUUGUUAGUUACUGUUAAUGUUAUUUUGCUAUAUAUUUGUAUGUAAUUGUAUGCAACAGGUAUCAUGUCUACCUCAAGAGGUUUCUUGGGAUUUGGGGCGAUCUGGCUAAUGCGCCAGAAGCUACUGCAGAUACAUCUGAUGGGGUCCGGGACGCAAUUUCUGGGACUCCCGAACUCCCAGGCCUCUGCUAGUAGUUCACGGGCUAGAAGGCCUAGGGGCCCUACAGCUGCGAUAUCAGAGAGAGAGUAAGGUGCAGUACUGGGAGGAUAUUUAGAGGCAUCCUACGACUGGGUAAGAUUUAGUUUAAUUACUGUUUCUCGUACACCAUGAUUAAGUGAUAAAAUUACUUGUACACAGUGGUUGGGAGCCCCGGCCUGUCCAAAGCUUGCACCCAUUUAAGUAUUUGAAACCCAGGCGGGUACACAUGGAAGUUGACGCCCCGGCGAUGAAGGAUAAUUUUUUGGUGAAUUAAGGUACAAUUAAACUAAUGUACAUAUAAAUAUAUCAUAUUAAUUGUUAAAAUGUUUGAUAUUAAAUUAAUUCUCUUCUUUCAACAGAAAGAGUUUCAGUUGGAGCCCGAGGAUGAGCUGACGUGAGGAAAAUGUGGGAGAAAAACGCCCGCAAAAGGUACUCCGACAUGAGAGCGACUACAAGAAAGAGCUCAAGAGUGUACCCGCCAAGGGAGAGAGAUGUCUGACCCGUUGGAUGACUCCCGAUUUUUGGACUGGACUCCAGGAUACUGGCAGCGUCCCGAGGUUGAGGCUGUUUCUAAUCGAGCACGUGCCAACCGGAUGUCCGAGCCCGAUGGGAGGGUACAGGGAUCAGUAGGCACGUGGGCGGUCUCAGUCGACUCGUAUCCUGCAGCAGUAUAUGGUGUAAUUAACAAAUAAUUAAGUUCAUAAUAUAUAUAUAUAUAUAUAUAUAUAAUAGUAGAGUAUAUCUUGACUAAUAUAACUUAUUUUAUCUUAUAUAAAUGCAUCUACAGAGUUUGGAGCCUGAUUUUCCCCAGGAUUCACCCAACUAUGCCACCUUCCUCCGCCUCCACAUGUACCCCGAAGGAAGUUAUACGUCUCCGAGAGAUGCAAGAAUUGACGUAAGUGUUUAAGUUUAUUCAAAUAUCUAGUGAAUGUAUUUAUUUUCUAACAAUUAUGCAUUGUUAUGUAUGAAUUAGGCCGAAGUUCAUCAAGUGGCCGCUGCCACAGGACGACAGAACCGGCUAGACGAGGUGUAUUUGGAGGUGGUGCAUCCGGAUAGGUCACGGAUCUACGGCGUUGGGAGUGCCGGGCAGAGUCAGGCUAGUAGGGGGUCUAUCCGCAGCACGGGCACUUCUGCGAUGUCUCAGCAGCUUUAUGAGACACGGAUCUCCACGCUGGAGGAGCGAUUGGCGGCAGUGCAAGCACAACGCCAACAGAUGGAGGAGCGCAUGGCGGCAGAGCAAGCAGCACGCCAAGAGAUGCAGGACCGCAUGGCUCAAUUGGAGGCGUUUAUGAGGAUGUAUAAUGCUCAGCCACCUCCACCCCAUGAUGCCGAUGAUGAUGAUGAUGAUGAUGCUUAGAACUUUCCGUCUUUUAUUACCAUGCUAGACUUAUAUUUAUGUUUUCAAACAAAAUUACAUUUGCACUUUCUUUUCAAAUUUAUGUUUUAUUGAACUAUAUAUUUCAAGCGCUUUAAUUAUUAAAACUAUAUAUGUUUUAUAUAUUUAUGGCAAUGAUGAUGAUGAUUGCAUUUAACAUAAACAAAUAAAUUCAAAUCACAUUAUAAUAACCAAAUUAAAACACUUUUGGUGUAUUAAUGUUAAAAAAAAUUGAUUAAUUAAUUAAUUAAUUAAUUAAUAAUUUAAUAUUAAUUAAAUAUUUUACCGACGAUAAAAAUAAGGACCGAAACGAACUCGAUCACUAAUUAACAACAUAUUUCAGGUAUUAUCUCCACAUAUUCAAAGAAAAAGAUUAUAUGAGUGAGUAUAUAGCAUUUAAAUGAAUUAAUAGAUGUAGAUAUAUCAAUAAUACGAGUGUUCUGUACUGGUGACCACUCGAAAAGAAUUUCAAAGUUAAGCGUGCUUGACACAGAGCUCAAGCAAGAUGGGUGACCCACUGGGAAGUCGGGUCACCAACUGGGAAGUUCGUCUAAAGUAUGCAAUACCGUAUAAAUACAGAAAUAAAUUGUGGAUAUACAAUAAAAUAAAUAAAUAAAUAAAAUAAAAUAAAAAAAUAAAGCUAAAAAAAUUACCGUAGGCAAAACGCCGUCGGUAAUUAACCGACGGCGUUUUGCCCUCGGUAAAUACCCGGCCCCCCGGCAAAGAACCAUCGGACGGCGGUGGCUUGUUACCGACGGCGUUCUGCCGCCGCCACUUAGCGGCGGUAAUCGCCGUCGCUAGUUUUCUGGCAGGGGUCCGCCGGACUCCGGUGGCUCUCUACCGACGACAAAAACGCCCUCGGUAAUUAGCGGCGGUGGUUGCCGCCGCUAAUUCUCCGGCAUGGCUCCGCCGUUUAACGGCGACAAUUCCGGCGGCAUCGCCGCCGUUAACUGCCGACGGCGGCCGUUCGCCGUCGUUAUUGUCGUUGCCGACGAACCGUUUAGCGGCGACAUCUUGCCGCCGGCAUCGCCGCCGGUAACACUAUUUACCGGCGGCCGUCUUUUGUUACCGACGGCAUUUCGCCGUCGGUAAUCAACGAUUUUUUUGUAGUGUUAAUGCUUAAGUUAGGUAGAGCAUGAAACUGUUAAAUUAUGAUUAUUAAUAUUAAUAGUAUAAAGACUAAAUAGCAUUACAAGUUACCAUUAUAUACUACUACAAUUGGUCAAUAUUUGAAUCUCGAAUCUUGUUUAUCGAAUAUUUUUAGUAUGAAAUUGAAUCUCGAAUCUUGUUUAUCGAAUAUUUUAAGGUUCAUGAACUUAAUCCUAUACGAACUUUCUAAAUUUAUAUUUAUAUUCAAAAUAUUAAUUAUUAUUUUUUUUAAAAUAUAAUUCAUUCAAAAUACAUACUACAAUAAUUUACAUUUUCAAGUUGAAUCACUUUACGAACGUGUUCACAAGCAAACGAGCCGAAUACUACUAAGCUCAAGUUUGACUUGUUUAUUUAUCGAUUUUUUUAAACAAAUUUAAACAAUUUUUUUUUUGGAACCGAGCUCUUAAUAAUUUGCGAGCUGCUUAAUUUGUUUACAGCCCUACAUGGCGGCAUCUUGUGGAAUCAACAGUUCCAAAUUUUGAAACACAUACAAUUCUAUAAAAUUUGAAUAAAAUAAACUUUAAAAAAUUGAUUAUGGAACACAAUUCUUUAAAAUUCUAUAUAUAUAGGGGAAGACUACGGUAUAAACACUUCUUAACAUAUAAGCAAAUUAAUUAAAAUAUAUGAAUUAUAUGUAAAACACAUAUGAAUUUGCUGUUUAAAUGUAUAAAUUGUGAAAAAUAAUUUUUUUUCUACCUAUAGGUUUCGAACUCGAAACCAUGAAUUCAUUCAACAAGGUGAUGAAUUAACCGUAGAUUUUGAUGAUCUAAGGACUGAAAAUAGUUUCUAUAUUUUAUAUGCUAAAAGGUAUUUUUACUUUAGCCUAACCUUAUAUAUGGAUACAUGUCGGAUAUAGGUCGCCUAUAUAUAUAUAUAUACACAUAUAUACAUAUAUAUAUAUAUACAUAUACAUACAUAUAUAUAGGCUACCUGUAUCCGACAUGUAUCCAUACAAAAUAAUUUUUUGUUGUUGUUCACACUAACCCAUUAAUUUCGUAUGUAUUAGUAUCGCGCUAUCACACCGUGUUAAAAGUUGUGUGCCUUAAUUGGCUCAGGCUAUUUUUGGUACAAUCCAAGUGGAUUGAAUUUAUUUUUGGUUCAAAAUUUUUAACCCUAACUCUUCAUCUUUAGUGUUUAAGCUAGCCCAUCAGGCCAGAAAAUUUACGAAAAAAAUUUAAUAUGUAGUAUAAAUUUUUAUGAUAACUAUAUUCUUUUAAUAAAAAAAUAGGUCAUGUUAUCAAGAUACUUAAUAUCGUAUUAUAUGCAAAAAUGAAUAUUAUAUCAACUUUAACUUACAUAAAUUUUGAUAAGCAUCUAAAAUAACGUCUUAUUAUGAAAUUAAGAAAUAAAAAAGUAGUUUAAUUGAUAAUUUUAAGAUGAAGUUUUUCUCCGGGCUAGUUCUAUCGGGCUCAGACUAUUUUUAGUUUGAUCUUAUCAUAUUUAAUGUUUUUCGGUCUUGAAUUUUUUGAUCGUAACCCUUAUUUUUUUCUCAAAUUAUUUCGGCCUCCGUCAAUUUUGAAUUGGACUGGCAUCUUUAAAUUUCCACCUAAUGAUUUUCUCGAAUUAUUGAUUAAACUUAUGAAUUUCGGUUUGAACUGACAUGCAUCCCUAAAUUUCCACUCCAAAUUUCCACAUAAGACUCUAUUCAUUAUGACACUUUUUGUGGGCAUAACUUUUAAUAAAAUGGUUAAUUACUUAUAAAUAUAUAAACUACAACCAAAUUUUGGUUUAAACCAUAUCUAUUUUUUUGGUAAAAAAAUAUUACUCCCUCUGUCCCAUAAAAAUAUGAAUAAUUUUCCUUUUUCACAUGUCUCAUAAAAAUAUGCAUAGCCCAUUAUAGUAAUAUACUCCCUCCGUCCACGAAAUGAGUACCCAUAUUUCCUUUUUCGUCCGUCCACGAAAUGAGUAUCCAUUUCCCUUUUUGGCAAGUGUACCCCACACAACCCUUUAAUUAAUACUCUAAAAAAGUGGGACCCUUAAACUAUUCACACUACACUCCAUACAUUUCUUAAAACCCGUGCCGUUCACAAAUGGGUACUCAUUUCGUGGACGGAGGGAGUAUAUUAAUUCUCUCACUAAAUAUCACAAUUAAUGUGAUACUAUUUCUCCACUCACAGUAGACUUUACAAGAUUUCUUAAAACUCGUGUCGUCCCAUACUAUGUAUAUUUUUAUGGAAAUGAAGAACUAUAAACUUUAAAUUAUUUGGAAUUUGGCCUGACUUCCAAAGUUUGCUGGUCAAUAACUUGAUCGUCUGGAAUCUGAUGGAUUAUUCGAAGGUACCGUUGAAAACCUUUUGAUGAUAUAUAAUUCUCUAAUGAUACUCAUAUUGUUGGAUUUUGAUCACCGGAAGUAGUCGAAAAAAGAAAAAAUAUAGAGUUUCACAAUAUCAACUUUCAUGCCAUUUUUCGACCUCUUUAAGUGAUUAAAAUCCAACAAUAUUAUAAUUAUCAUUAGAAAGAUAACGUCAAGAACUUUCCAACGUUACAUUCGAAUUGUCCAUCAAACUCCCGACAAUCAAGUUAUUGGCCAACAAACUUUGGGCUCAGGUCAAAUUUCAAAAUUUGGAUAUAAUUCGUGUAUUUAUAGGUAAUUAACCCUUCAUAAAAUGAGUGGUGGUUUUUAUGUAGUGGAGAAAUGGUCUCAUGCACCAUACGAAAUGAGUGGUUGAGAUUGAAUUAAUGAUGAUUUUUUUAAAAAAAAUAAGGGAUAUUUGUGAGGAUAAAAGAUAAAAAAAUAUAUAUAAUCAUAUUUUAAAAAUAAAAGUAUCAUAUUUUUUAUGGACAGAGGGAAUAAUAAGCAAUUCUAAUUUAUUCAAAAAGCAACAAGAGAUAUUGAGUAACUCCAAGUUUCCACAUAAUAAUAAGCCAUUGUGAUUUAUUUAAAAAGCACCAAGAGAUAUUGAGCAACUUUCACUACAAUUUUUUUUUAUUAGUGACAUGAGGCUUGAUAGCCAAUUCAUGUCAUAAAAAUUAUUGGCGUUUGAAGAUGUAACUAUUAAUUAGUAAUUAGCUACAUUAUCAAAUGUCAUUAAUUUUUAUGACACACAUAUAAUAGCUACCAAGUCUCAUGUGACUAGUAGAUUUUUUUUUUUUUUUUUGUCUAGUGUCCACAAAAUUUGAAAAGCAAUAAACAAAAAAUAAGCCACGUACACUACAAUAUUGAACAUGAAUUGGCUGCUUCGUACCAAACGAGAGGGAUAUAUAAAGAUAGAGAGAGAGUCGUUACAGAUAACAUUGAGAAAAAUUAAUAACAUACGAAAAUAUCUCAUAAUAUAAAUACAACAAUCUAUUUAAAAUGAUUAAAGAGUAUUACAGUACCAUUUGAUUAGGAUUAUAAUAAAUGAAUAAUAUCAAUGUAAAAUGACCAAUCAAUAAUUUUCAUAUAUUUCUAUGAAAGUAGACCGUUUUAACUAAAUUAGUUUUUAGUUAACUCAUAAGAGCACCUCCAAUGCAUGGUGUCUUAGGGGGUGUAUUAGAUGGUGGUCCUCACUUAAGACACACCCCUCUUCAAUGCAUUGGUGCUUAGAGGGUGUCUUAGAUCUCCAUUUCCACAAAAUUCAUAUUUCUACACUUUUAUUUUUAAAUUCUCAAUUUCAUUAAAAAUAAAAUUAAACAUUACAAUAAUUAAAAUAAAAUUAAAAACAUAAUUAAAAUAAGAUAAUAAAAUAAAAAAUAAAAAUAAUUCCUAAUUUAAAUAAGCCCUCGACGCUUGAGCACUUCUGGACUAGGUGGUUGUACAAGGUCAAUUGUGCCUCCGUCAUACCCGUCGUGUCCUUGUUCAAGAGCUUCAUAUUCAUCUCCUCCCGUUUCAUCUCGGUUUGCAUUUUUUUGACCUCGGCGAUUUUCCCCGUUUUGAGAGCAUGCUCCCUCAUGCUUUCGGCCACCUUCUCGAGGGCGUCGGAGAACGUCGAACCUCCUCCCGAAGACCCUUCUCCCUUCUUCGCCUUGCCCUUGUUCGCUUUGCCGCUUUUUGGCCUUGGGGCCUCGUCGUGACACUCGGCUCCGAAGAAGUGGUGGUUGCUCCACCAUCGGAGCCCUUCGACUUCUUUGCGGAGUGGACAUCCCCAGCUUGCGACAUGAAUCUUUCGCAUUCGCGAAGCACUUUCCUAGCUUUGAUGUAGGAGAAUUGCUUCUUGAAAUUCGCCUCGAACAUUGUCUGGGCUUGUUGGGUGAUUUAAUCGUCGCUCAUACCACUCCCCCAAUUCUCCUUGCAAGUGUUGUAGAAGCCCUCGAAGAAUUUCGUCUCCUUUUGGACACGGGCGAAGUGGGACUUGAGAUGUUCCGGCUUUCGCGGCGGCGCUCCCGACUCAUUGAGCGCGUUGAACUUCUCCGCGAUUGCUCCCCAAUAUUGGAUCGAGCAACCUUUGGGAGGUCCCCAAAAUAGGAUUGUGAGUUGCCUCCACCCACAAGAUUGCCACGAGCUCGGACUCCUCGCUAGAAUAUGAAGCGCGGGUGCCCUUGGCUUUCGGCCUCGCCGCCUCCGGCUCUUCUUGGACGUUGGCGUGUGCCGCAGGCGUGGGAAGAUUUCCUGUAGCCAAGACAUUGGAAGCUUGCGAAAAUGGAGCAAACCCCAUCAUCGGAAGCCUCGAACCGCCGCCUUGUUGCUCGAGGCAUUCAUCGAAUUCGCAAUCCAUUAAAAGAAAAAUGUAGAAGAGAGAAUUGUAGUUGAGAUGAGAAAAUUUUUGAAGAGAAAUUUGUAGUUGAGAAAGUGAUGAAUUUUAUAUUGUGAAAGAGUGGUAUUUAUAGAAGGGAAAAAAAGAAAAAAAGGAAAAAAAAACAAAACAAAAAUAGUUGUUCAGCAACGGUCGAAUUAAAAAAAAAUCAAACGGUUAAAUUUAUUAAAAAUCAGAUUUUUGAUUUUUUUUUAAAUGGGGCGCGUCCCCCUUCGCCCCGGGUUUCCACUUCGACACGCCCUUGCAUCAGGUCGGCUCUCCAACGCGGCCACCCUCCCAGCGCCCCGGAUCGAACCCCCCGGUGGAGAUGCUCUAAGAACUAGUAAUUGGUGAGCAGUCAGCUCUCGCUUGCAUCCCAUGUGAGGGUUGUGUAGCGGUGGCUGCAGACUUAUUAAUUUCCCUUUUAAUUAAUUAUCAUUCUACAACAUGGUGUGUGUGUGCGUGGGCGUGGAAUAUUUUUUAAAUAUGUAACAAAGAUAUUACGCUUAGUUGGAGUGUCAGAAUAUUGAGACCUCUCUCUCAACAAAAAUGCACAUGAUUAUUCUUUUAUUUUGUUUUUCGUUUAUUAAAAUUCUGGAAUGAACGAAUUGAUGUGAUUUUACAUAGAUAACCAUGUACGAUAAAGACGAUGAAGGUAUUGAGCAGUAAAUAAAUAAGGAUGGGUAUAUAUGAAUAUGAAUGAGAAAAAGUUUAACAACAAAAUGAUUGUGGGGAGAGAGGCGUCGCUGUCCUUUGCCUCACCCGGCCGGCUGCAUAUACUAACACAAUUGCAAUAUAUAUGCUGCCUCCAUGCAACUAUAUAUCUCAAGAUGCACGUACAAAUUCUCUCUCUCUCUCUCUCUCUCUCUCAUAUAUGUGUGUGUGUAGGGCGAUUCAAAUAAAAAUUUUGUGUAUUUUAGUAACUAAUUAACUAAAAACCAAUAUGUACCAUUGAUCAUAUGAUCGAUUGUCAUAAAAUGAAGUAUUAUGAGAAAAAUACAAUAUUUCGUGUGGAAACCAAUUGUGAAAAUAUCCAUUUAGGGUGUCUUUUCUUUGGUUGAUAAAUUUAUCGUAAAAGAAUGAGGGAUAACAAAAUUUUCUCCCUUUGAAUCCCCUCUCAUUUUCCCUCAUUUUCUAUAAAUUAAGAGAAUUUCGCUACUUCUCAUUCCUUCUUUUCACUCCAAGAAGGAAUAAUAUUAUCCCUCCAUUUUUAGUGUGAUAAUAUUAUCCAUCCUUCAAGUGAAAAAAAAAAUGAAUGAGAAAUGAGAAAUUCUAUUCUGUAGAAAAUGAGGGAAAAUAAAUAGGGGAUUUAAAGGAAGAAUUUUUUGUUAUCCCUCAUUUUCUCUCAUGAUAUUUUUAUCAAUAAAAGAGAACACACCUUUAGUCAAUAUCUAAGAACUUGAUUGUUUUUAAUAUUAAGCAGCCGAAGAACAAUAAUUAAGCUCAUGUUUGGUUGGAUCUUUUUGGAGCUUGGAAAUAGAUUCAAUUAAUUGAAUCUAUUACUUAGUAUUUGGUUUGGAUAUAAUGAGUUAACUAUUACUCUUAUUUGGGGUUACCCCUCAAAAUAGAAGAGAAACAAAAUAAAGGUAAUUCCUUACUAGUGAUUCAUUUCUAUUGUUAAACCAAACACUUAAUAAAAAUAACAGUUAUUGUUAGCAUUCCUCCCCUUAAACAAGUUACGAGACUAAAAACAUAUUUAUCCAGGGUUGAGCGCGAGCGACAUCAACUUGUAGAUAACAGUAUGUAUGUAUAGAUGGUUUAUUUGAUUAUUAAUUUGUUUAUUGGAGUUUGUUAGAUUUUAAUCGUACAACUAGAUACAACCAUAAUUUGUACUUGUAAUUUUUUAGAAAGAACUAAUUAAGAAUUUUCAUAUAUAUAUAAUUACGAAUCAACAAAAAUGCAUGAAUUUUAUGUAUAACACGCAUGAAUAAACUGUAUAAAGGUAUGAAUUGCGAAAAAUAAUUUUUUGCUACCUUUGGGAUUCGAACUCAGGACCAUGAAUUUAUCCAACAAGGUGAUGAAUCAACCGUAGAUCUUGAUGAUCUAAGGGCUGAAAAUGGUUCCUAAUUUAUAUUUUAAGAAGCGUUCUUAUUUUAGCCUUCCCCUAUAUAUAUAUAUAUAUAUACAGAAAGUACAAGAAAUAACAAUAAAUAAAAGAAGAACGGAGAACCAUUUUCAGCCAUUCGAUCAUCAAGAUCUACGGUGGAUGCAUCAUCUUGUUGGAUGAAUGCAGAUCCUGGGUUCGAAUCCUGAAGGGAGCAUUUUUUUUUAUUUUUUUAGUGCAUUAAUUUUAACAGCGAAUGCAUUAAUUUUUACAGUGGAUGCAUUAGAUUUGAUGGUUCUCCCGUUCUCACAAAUAAUGUAGUUCUCUCUAGAACCACACCCUAUAUAUAUAUAUAUAUAUAUAUAUUACAUAAGUUAAAUUUUCAUGUGUUGAUAAGAAUGUUACUAACAUUGUAACUAACAAACAACGGAAUAUUAAAAUGACACCAGAAAAUAGUUUGUGCAGAUUUAUCCAACAUAAUAAAUAUGUGGUUGUCUUAAUAACAGUAAAUCGCUAUGAUGAAAAACAUUACAUUUUACAAUAUAGACUACUGCUCCUAUAUUAUAACCUUAUAGAUCCUCAAAUCUAUCCUAAGUUGAAUACAUAUUUAUAAUUAGACAGAGUCUAGACUAAUCAAUAAAAAAUAUGAUUAUUCUAAGAUGAUUAUUCUAAGAAUAAUCAAAUAAGAUAACCUAUUUACAUCCAAUAAAUCUGUCUAAUAAAUUAUCUAUCUCAACCUGAUCAUUCUUUGAAUAAUCAAGUAUAAAACAAUAAGAACUUCUUUGCAACUUAAAAAUCUGCCUAAGAAAUUCUUUAUCUAAACAUGAUUAGUCUUUGACUAAUCAAGUUAAGACCAUCUACACUUGUGUUGCUCUUUUGAAAUGUUGCAAGAACUAGACUUGAAGCUUCACAUAUUCCAUAAUCUAUUUAAGACUCACAACACCUCUGUCAGAAGACGCAAAUGUAUUUGGAGAAGCUCUCUAGUUGCAGCAAGUUUUUUAAUCUUCAAAUGCAUAACCUUGUAAAUGAGGUCUUCUCUGGUAUUUAUAAGCAUCCCACUGGUCAUGGUUUUCAUGGAACUUUAGUUGCACAUGUAGAGAUAACUUCCUUUAGUAGUUAUCACCCAUGAUCUUCAUGACCGUUGCUCACUCUUUUGAAAACUGCUCCUUCCCUUUAUUGUAUAACCUAUAGAAACGAUACACUAGAGAUGGCCACAUGAAUCAAAACCGUAAACCAAACCGAAAAGCCAAAUCGUGGUCAAUGGUUUCGGAACCAGAACCGUAAUCGGUGUUCCACGAUUCGGUUCCGAUUCCAAUUUUGAGAACCGACAGUUCACAGUUCUGAAUCGGAACCAGAACCGAAACAGUUGAACCGUGAACCGCAUCAGAACUGGGAUCCGUGGAACAAUGUGUGUUUGUUUGUGGUAGAAGACUUACGUAUUUAUAGGUGUUAACUAAGGUUUGCAGAAUUUAUGUAUAGUAUAUAUAGUGUAACGUGUAAUUAUAUAGAAAUUAGUGGAAUCUUGAUUGGUGUGAUUCCUUUUUACUACAAGAUAUGCCCACUCAUAUGCAAGAUACCAAGAAAAAGUUUUCCUUGAUUAUUGUACGUAUUAAUUAAUUAUUAUCACUAAAGCGAAAAUACUAUCAUUGAUUAUUAUUAUUAUUGUUAUUGAAAUAUGUAGAUCUUGCAAUAUAAAUAUCACGUUAUUAUAAAAUUUACUAUGUAUAUUAUGCUAUAAAUUUGAAACAAAAUCAAUCUAAUAUAACCCAUUGUAUCUUUUAUUUUAGAAGAUAAUACGAAAAAACAAUACAAACAACAUAAAUAUAUAUUUUUUUAAAAGGGUCAAACAGUUCGAACCGUGAACUGUCGGUUCGGAACUGGAAUCAGAACUGGCCGUUCGCGGUUUGAACUGGAACCGUGAGGGAGCUUUCACGGUUCGGUUCCGAUUUCAAAUUCCGAAAUCAUGGAACCGACGGUUCGGUUCCGGUUGGCGAUGUUUAAUGUACACAAUAUAAAGGAAGAUAAAACUCAUUAAAAAAGUAAGUAAUCUACAUGGAUAAAGCAAGUAACGAUUUCAUGUUUGUUAAUUAAUAUGUGUGUCAUUAUUAAACUGCGAUUAUAUAUAAAAGAAAAAAUGAAAAAAAUCUAAAGAAACCCUUGAAAGCACAAGAAAAGCAGACUAAGGGUCGAGCCUCAUUAAAACCUUCUUACGGAAAAUCCAGAGGGAAAAACCGUAAAAAGGAAAACGAGUACCCGUCUAAAAGACAAAAAGAAAGAAGGAAAGAGCGGAAGGGAAAGUUUCCAGAACUUCGGCCGAACCAUCGUCCCCAAACAAUCCCGGCUCCAAACCAACAUUCUGUAUGUGUGUCAUGACAUCAACUAACAGAAAACAACAUUUGUUGGUAACAUACCAACUAACACACUUAAAAACUGAAAAACUUUAACAUUCUGUAUGACACGAGUUUUAAUAAAAUGUGAAGAAAUUUAUUAGUGGACUAAGGGUCCCACUUUAAAUAUGAGCGAAGAUGUGUGGAUCCUACUAUUAUAAAUGGAAGUGGAAAAUUUUUUGUGGACAGACCAGAAAGAAAAUUCUUGCAAAUUUUUGGUGGAUGGAGGGAGUAUGAUUUUUAUUUAAUGAUAAAAUAUUCUUAUAUAUAUCAAAUUAAAGAUCGUGACAAGAUCUUUAAUUUGAUAUCUAAUAUGUAAAUAAUAGAUUUAAAAUAAGAAAGUUAUACAAGUUAGAAGUUUCUAAAUAAAAUAUUUUUCUCUCAUCUCUGUUAUUUUACACUGUAUAGUUUUUAUUGUAUUUAAAAAUAUUAUAUACAUGUAAUUUAUUUGAUUUAAGUAAUUUUAGGACUUGGUGAAAGAAAAAUAAAGAUAACUAUUUAAAUAAUACAUGGUCUAACAUUAUAGUUUUCGUUAAACAUAUAUUACUCUCUUCGUCCACCAAGAGUGUAACUCUUUUGGUGGACACGGGUUUUAAGAAUAUAGUUGGUAGAUGUGUAUAAAGUAAAAAUGCGUGGUUGUGGUUGAAUUGAGUGUGGGACCAUAAAAAAUGAGCGGUUGUAAUUAAAAAGAGAAAAUGGGGUUAUGUCCUAAAAGGGAAAGUGUUACACUCCUUGUGGACGCAUAAUCGGGUAAUUGUGUUGCACUCUUGGUGGAUUGAGGGAGUACAAUUUUUAUGUUUCAACAAUGUAAAUGCAUGUGCUUUUCACAUAGUUUUCCAUUAUGUAGAUGCACCUUGGGAAGACCUCUUUUUACUCCAAGUGAUACUCAAAAUGCUUUGUAGUUUCCUUUUACAGUGCUUGAAAACUUUUAUCCCGAGUGACAGUGCGAGUGCUUCGUAAUUUCCUAUUGCAGCAUUUAAAAACUUUCCUUAUGUGAAGCGGAUGUUUUUGGUAAGGAUGUAUGGUGAAGAUCCCCAUGCAUUAUUUGGCGUGUGGAGCAGCUUAGCAAGAUCUUGUUGUCUUCUUUCGGUACAUGUUCGUUUGGAAUAUUUUCCACAAAGAUAUAUUCACCCUGCGCUGCAUGGUAAUAUAUCUAAGGUUCCUUCGGUGCCCCAAUAUAUAUGUUAUUGAAGACUCACGUUUUGGUUGCGGUUUCUAAGUCUUAUUUUCAUUGUUAUCUCACUUGCAUUCUUUGUUCUAGUGGAAGAUAGGUUCUUUCUUCUGUUUACAAUAGUUGAGUUGUAAUAUGUAUUUAUUACUGGAAUCGGCUUAGAGUUUAUUUAUGUUUCUUUAUUAGGAUUAGGUAGUGAGUGGGGGUACUCACGUCCAAGAAAGUGUGUGGUGCAUGCAUUGCUAGCUUUUACUGUUAGUGGAGUUUUGGGAAGUUGCUUAGGUUUAAGAGUCGAUUCUUGUAUAAGUCCUUUGUAAUGUGUGUUUGUUGCGUAUUGAUUAUUCUCUCUCGUGUGCCAACACGAAUACUUACUCACUUGGAAUCUAUUUUUAUGUAUAAAUUUUGCACUUAUCUUUUUCAAUUAAUAAUAAAGCAGGUUACCUAAUAUAUAUAUAUAUAUAUAUAUAUAUAUAUAUAUAUCAGGUUUUUGAAAGAUCGGAAUUUGUUCAUAUGGCUUCUCAAAAUGAAGGAGGAUUUAUUGUUCCUCCACUUCUAAUUAGAAACAACUACGCAUAUUGGAAGAUGCGCAUCAUGUGAUUCAUCAAGUCUCAGGACGAGAAUGCGUGGAUCUCAAUCACCCUGGCUGAAGUUUUCUUAAAGAUACUGAGGACAAUAUCAAACUAAGAGGUAAAUGGACUCUAUGCAUUAGGAGCUAAUAAUAAAUCUUUCAAUUCCAUUCGAACGACGAUUAGAUGGAGGUUUUCACUCUGAUCUCGAUGUGUAAAAGUGCUGAGGCUUUAGAUGUUCUUCAAAACAUGUACGAAGGAAAAACUUGUGUCAAGAACUUGCGCAUUCAACAACUCACUACUCAAUUCGAGAUGCUCAAAAUGCAAGAGAAUGAAAGCAUCACUGAGUACCCAAGCUACUUUUGGUAUUGCAAAUGAAAGCUUCUCCCUUGAUGAAAGAAUUCCAUAAAGCAAACUUGUGCGAAAUAUAGUAAAAAUUAAAAAAAAAAAUGACGGUUCAAACCGGGAACCGCCGGUUCUAGGGGCGGUUUGGCGGUUCCACGGUUCGGUUCCAAUUCCGAACCGGGAAUCGUCGAUUUUGUAAACUUGGAACCGUAAUCGAACAGCCGAACACGGUUUCGAUUCUGGUUAGGAACCGUCUAACACGGUUCCGGUUCCGAAACCGUCCCGGACGGUCCAGUUUCACGGUUCGGUUCCCGAUUCAGAUUUUUUUUUGCUACCUCUACUCCACUGUCGGACCCACCGCUUGUCCAAAUAACACGUAGCAAUAUUACCACCUCUUUUAAUUGUUACCCCUAAUUUUAAAAGCCCCGUUAUAGUAGUACCUCAAAACUAUAUGCUUCUAGAAAUAUGACACAACGUUAAUGGUUUGAACAAUCCCACAUUACUUUUGUGUGUUUGUGUUGGUUGUACGGUUGUUUUUGAACUGACACAUCAUCAUUGGAUUCAAUAAUCACAUAUUUUAAACAAUUCAGAGUACUUUGUGAUAUCUAUGCUAUAUUAAAAAGGUAGCUUUUAAUUUGAAAUCAAUUUCAAAUCAAUUUUAAAAUUGGGUGACAAUGUUGUAGUUAUAAUAAAAUUGAAGAUUUAUGUGUAAGCUAUAUUUUUUCUUUUUUAUUUUUCUUUUCUUUAACUUCUUAUUUGUUUUCUUUCUUUUCAAAAUUGUGAAAUUCGAUUAGUUAUAAAAUAAUUAAUAUGCAUAUCAAAUUAAUGGUCACGAUAAGAGUUUUAAUUUGAUAUCUUUUAUGUAAAUAUUUGAUAUAAAAUUUAAAAAUUAAAUUUAUUUAAAUAUUAAAAUUUUAUAAAUUUCUCUCACAUCUCUCACCUUUUUUGAAUAAAUCUAUUUUUAAUUUUUUUAUUAGUACUUUUUUUAACUUUUUUUUGCUUUUUAUAAUAUCAAAUUUUAUAAUUAUGGAUUCUUUUUUAUGUUUUUAUUUUUUUAUUUUUUCAAAAUUCAAUUCAAAAAAUUCAGUUAGAUUUAUUUUUUUUAAUAAAUUCAUAAGUAUGAUAAUUGAAUUUAUAUAAAUAUAAAAAUUUAAAAAUAAUUUCCCUUGCAUUGCACGGAAUGCAAAUACUAGUAGUUUGUAUAAAACAUUUGUAGUUUAUAACUUGCUCAAAACCUAAUUAGGGAAAAUGUAAAUUUUUAAUAAUCACAUUACUUGGCUCAAAAAACAAACAGCUCAGAGCUUAAAAUCAAUUCAAGACAAACUAGUUAUGCCCGAACCACAAAGCAGAAGAUACAACAAUAACAUAUAACUAGAUCGACUUCGAAAAUAUUUCACUUGCUAAAAUUUAAGUUACAGCAAAAUUUAAACUCGUGAAAGUAUAAAGUUACAAGUUCGAACUACUAAUUAAAUUACUGAAGCAACAAGGGGCGACUAAUUAGCAUCAUUGUUCAGUAUCAAAGCGUGUGACAACCAAAUGCGUGUGAGUUCCCUGAGGCCAACCAAAUGCUUCAUCCUGCUAAACAAAAUUGAAUCAAAAUUCAGGUAAGACGACCAUAAAAGGAAAUGCAAAUGCCAGACGAAAGUAUAAUGCACAGAAGAACAUUUUCCAGUUCAGUUUUCAACAGUUCAAUAUUCAAACCUAUAAGGGAGAUAUAUUCAAUUGGCAAUACAUAUGAUUGAGUAUCUGAAGGGUUACAUAGACGAAAGCAUCACUAGCUUAUGCUCUGACCCGAGUAGCGUGGAACAUGUGGAAUUCCAUGCGAAUCAACAAAAUCUACUAUGCAUAAAUACUCCUAGGCAACUUGAUAGCACAGUAGUACCGUGAAGGAAGGGUGAAAGAACCCCCAUCAGGGAGUGAAAUAGAACACGAAACCAUAAGUGAGAGAGGCCACAGCUCUCACCAUGUGCAUGUUGAAGAAUGAGCCGGAGAGUCAUAGGCAAUGGCUUGGUUUAGGGAACCCACUGGAUUCUGUCUUAUACAUAUGCAAGGAAGGUAAAUCAAAAAGGAAAAGAGAUGAGAUCAAAUAAGCUCAAUGUUCGAUACAUCAAAGUAUGUAGCGGAUUAGCUUAUAGUAUCUUAAUCUAUCUAAGCUGAGCAAACGUCCCCUAACUUAUAUGUUCUACCUGCAGCGUCACCAAACACUGCAGCAGCAACAAAGCAUCCUUACCCUAAAAUUCCUCUCUCAAUUCCACUAAACUACACUAGCAUGGACUUACACCUCUUCAAAUAGCUCCCAUUCUAUAAUCGAGUCACCACUCUUCUAGAAACUACCACCAGCAAUCAGCAUAAAUAGACUGCACAAUAAAGCUAAAGGGUUCAGGCUGACUCACAGUUUUACGUUUCAAGACUGAAUUUCUUGAAGCAUAAAGAUCUUGUUGGAUCAUGAUAGGGAUAAAGAGAUAGAAGCAAUAAUACUAGAACCAAAAGAAUUAACUCAAAUGAAAUAGAAAUCAAAUAGUAGAACUCUGAGGAGAAGACUUCUCCAAGCUUCAAAGACACCAACUUGCAUGUUCUAAGGUUCAAGACACAUCCUCCAUUGAUGUUGAACGGAGAAAGGCCAUUUACUUUUUCCUAGGGUACCGCAGUCCAUGCGAGAGCCCCUAGCCUGAUACAAAUAGUUAAAUAACGGAAAUAACUAACUCGUAAAGCACAUAAAAUGAAAAACGAUGCAGUAGCCCACGCCAAUUUCUGCGGCUUCACGCUCGCUCUGUGCUCAAAUCUUAUCAGCAACAAUUUCAUCCUUCUUCCAAACAGCCUUGUCCUCUACGGAGGAACACAGGAAACCAAUCCAUGAACUUGGCCUCAUCAACCCAGGUAGCCUCAUCUCUCCCCCUUAUUCAACCAACUUGUGUUGAAUCCUAUCAUCUCCCCACCAAGCCAUUCUAUUAAGCAAAAUUCAUCACCCAACACAACCUUCAACUCAAAAACAUGAAAACAAAUAAAGACGAGAGUGCCCCAGGAAGGCACAAACACUAACGACCCCCCGACUCACGCAAUUACUUCAAAGCGCCUGUAAAAUUUGGAAGCUAACUUUACACAAGAGCAAGCAAGGAUGGAGCUUGAGAAACACCUUCUAACCAACUUAAAACUGCACAUGUCAAUAGUGCUUAUUGGCAGCCUUUGCCAUAGAAUGUUAAGCACGAACAAUGUGCUCUCUCAAAUGGCGCAACACCUCAUCACGCUCCCACCUCCUCAGCCAUUGCCUCGACUCACUUUUCACCUGAUAAGAAGCUUCCAAGCUUUAUUGGUGACCUUCCAUAAACAACCUCAAACGGUGUCAUGCCCACUACUAAACGGAUGCUGAUACACAGAAAUUAUUGACUCCAUUGGCGAGGCCGCUUUGAAGCAAAGCAGUGUAGGUACAUCUCCGCACAAUGAUUCACCACUUAUGCCUGAACAUCAGAUUCAGGAUGCUCUGAACAACUCUGCCACACUAAGACAUCUCCAAUGGCCAUCAACCCUAUUGUAGAGGGAAAAAUUGUCUCUGAUCAUACGCUCUAUUUGACACUAGAAUUAGGGAAUGAACUUGUAACAAGGUAGUAUUCAUUCAUCUACAAUUUUUAAUUCAUUAAUCGUCUCUGAUCACAAGCGCUAGAAGUGUUUCUCAUACAACUCGAACACAGAGAUACAUUCUUGUCAUUAACAUACAGCUCUUUAUAAGUAUCCCACAUAGCUUUGGCAGUAUCCAGGAACAUAUGAUGUUUUUACUAACAGAUUCAUCUAUGUUAUUGAGAAGCCAAGUCAUAACAGAACAUUCAUCAGCACUCCAUGCUUCAUAUUUAGGAUCUGACUAACAAGGGCAGCAGAUAAAACAUGAUUUCGUUUUUUGUGAGAUCCUAAGAACAACAGAAAAGCACGAGACUAUGGCAUAUAAUUGGAACCCUAGGCAAAGCAAGAAUAGACAGCAGCAGAGGUGGAAAAUAUAACCCUAAGCAGCGGCCCCCUGAAAAAAAAUUAGGCAAAAAUAUGGAGACAUAGUGUAACUAAAUCCUGGAAGAGUGUAACAAAAUCCUGAUGAAUUCAUACCCGCUCUAAUAUCAUGUAGAAUGCUAAAAUAUGGAGACAUAGAACAGGAGAAGAAUAGUUUAUUAUGUUCUGUAUAUCUAAAAUACAAGAGAUUCCAACAUAUAUAGGGAAACCUAGGAUUACAAGAUACUUGAGGAAACAUAUUUAUUCUAAAUACUAAAUAUUCUACAACAGCUUGUAUGUGAUAAACCAUGCCCAGUGAGGCAUGAAACUCAUUUAGGAAUGAAGGAAAGAAUGGGGAAUUCAGUCUGAAGGUUAUCUGGUCCCAAUAGAACAACACGCCAUGAAUCAAUUGCAGCUAGUCUUUCCCACCUCGAGCUAAGUCAUACCUGGCCCAAAGUUAGGAUCUCGAUGAAGUUCUGUUGCACACUGCUCACCGUCCCAACAAUGUAGGCAUGGAUAUUAUCGAAAAGUCAACCUCCUCAUAACUAUGAUAUGACACCGGUCACUUUGUUAGCGGUUCUCAACUUAUAUUCAAUGUGAUUCAUAACAACUUGGCCAUCCAUAAUUGUUGAACCAGCACUUCAUUAAAAAACGCAAGCUAUAAUCUUCAAAUUGCGUAUUUGUUAACCAUCAAAUAUGGCCAUCAGUGUUGGAUUAGGGCAAUACAAAUCUAAUAGACCGAACGCAUGUUAAGCUUGUUGAACCAUAAAUAACACCAUGAAACUCAUUCAACUUCUCUUGAAUAAUAAGAAAUAGACACUUAUCCGCAGUAGUCUACAUGUAGAACGCUUAAUAAUCCACACAACUGCCAAAUCUUAUCCUACAUUCUAACCAGCAACACCAUUCUCGAAUAAUUCCCAUUUCCAAUAUUUCUUGCACCAAACCCUCCAUCACAUCUUUGGUGGUGUCUUGUAGCAGUAAGGUCUAACCAAUACCAGAGGUGCUUGAAGUUGAGGUUGCAGUGCAACAUGAUAACCCACUUGCCAUCUUUGGGGAAGCAAAACACUUGCAUAACAAUUGAAAAUUCAGUCAUAAUUGCUCGAACAAUAGGGCUCCCCAAGUGUUGAGGUCGUGUCAUUGUGAUGAGAGCUCACUUCACUCUAUUUUCGUACCCACCUUAGACACCCAAAUCUUUACCACUUGGUACACAAACAUUUUAGUAGAAACAGAUCAUAUAUUGAUUCCAGUGUAUGUUCAUUGCAUGUACAAUUCCAUGUAAAUGGUUAGCUAUUUUUUUUUUUUUUUAUUUGAUAAAUGAACAAGUAAAUAAAGAAAAUUAAAGACCGGCCACGGUCGACUCGAACAAGGACCUGACCUUGGACAUUAACCACACUAAUGCUAGGCCAACACACGCACACAAUGGCUAGCUAUUAUAUUACUAAACUGACAACUUCAAGAAAAAUAUUGUAUAGAAGUACGAGCAGCACAUUCCACUAUCUAGUUCUUACACUGGGAAUAUUUGAACAGAUAAAUACUUUUUUCUCCAAAUGAAAUUGAAAAUAUAUUCGAAGCAUAGAGUGAAAAAGCAAACCGGUUCUAGUUGAGACUUGACAAUUCCUCCAAAUCCUUAACGGCUUGUCCAACUGCAUGAAGAAUGAUCUUCUUCACCUGUACACAAGGAUUAGCAUUCCAAUUCUUUCUAACCUUCUUAACAAUAACUUAUGCCGGUGCACACAUUUAAGAGAUUACGAAAAUCUUAAUGAUAGAAUUAAAAUCAAACAGCACACUAUGCACAUUCUAGUUGGGUGUAGAUGCUACAAAUAUCUCUUUGCAGGUGUCUAGGCAUUAGGCUUUGAGAAAAGAUGUAUUUUUUUUAAUUGGAUGGAUCACUAAUGACAUUAAUUGGAUGGAUCACCAUGUGGCCCAAAUUGAGAUUUCACAUUAUAAAAAAGAAAAAUCCUUUCUUCUUGUAGUGUAAUAUGGAUUGAACUAGAAUACAAAUAAAUUCUGUCUCCACUUAAAUAUUGCUUCUCCUACAUAAGCAAACAAGUUCUUAUCCACGUGUACAUGCAUACACACAUACAAGAAAACAAUUUAAUUUCUCAUGCUAUUCUCAUAAAAAGCUUAGGUUCAAACCACGAACUAGUGAAAGAUAAGAAUAAGAAAGCAUACCUCUAACUUGUCUUCUUUAGCCCUAUGAUUUUGUGGUAGAAUACGAAAUUCCUCUGUCAACCGAACACACUCUUUGACAUUUUCCGGUGAGACGAAGUCAAGUGCGACCUUUAUGCAUGACUAUAAAAGAAAGACAGUAACUUUUAGCCGUUAUGGCAGCAAAUCAGAUGUAGAUUGUUGAUUACAAAUUGUCAACUAAAAAAUAAAACAAAACAAAUUAUAAUUGGUGCGGCUACACCGUAUGCCGAGCACAAUUGUUUCAGACCUGGAUCCGAUCUUCUUCAGCUCAUUCUGGUGGGAACUUUUUAGAAUGUUGGGUAAUGGGGACAACGCUGAGCUCGCAUGAGCUCAGCGUAUCAUCCAGAGACAGACGUGCAAACCAAAGUUAUGAAUAGGUGUCUCGAGACUGAUUUGCAUUGUUUCACAUCUGAGCAACCAAAGAUCUGGACUAAGUGGUUUUCGUGGGCCGAGUACUGUUUCUAACACGGGAUUCCAGUCAAGUGCGGGCAUUGCCUUUUGAGGCUGUCUAUGGGCGAUCGUCGCUCCCUAUUUGUUAAGUACUUUGGGCCAUUCGUGGUAGAAGGACAUGUUGGAAGGCGGCUUAUCGGCUGGCCUUGCCGGUGGGAUAAAAAAUUCCUGUGUUUCAUGUGUCCUUGCUCAAACCAGCAAUCGAAGCCUCUACAGCAUCUCCCACUUUACCCGAAGAUUUGUUGGAGGUUGAUCCUCCCUUCUUGAGUCAGUGUUGGCACAGGUUUUUGGUUUCCGAUGGAGUUCGGGUCUAGCAGAUGCCGGAAAAUGGCUCAGCAUGGAGGUCCUAGAUAGCUCUUGCGUGGACAUUGCAGAUAUACGCGGGCAGUUUUCAGACUUCAGCCUUGAGGUCAAGGCUGUUCCAGCGGAGGAGGCAAUUGAUACAGUAGCGGCAGCGAAAGGGUUGCAUUUGUACUCAAGACGCGCAAAGACGGCAGUCAAGAAUUAGUUAUUUCAAUUAGCUUUUAUUUCAUAUUAUUAUUAUUAUUAUUAUUAUUAUUAUUAUUAUUAUUGCUUGUUUAAGUUAUGCCAUGCAUGGGCUUUAUGUUGUGCAUGGGCCUUGUUAGGGUUUGAAGUUAGCUUAUUAAAUAAGCGUCUGAGACGUAGCUAGGGUGAGGUUUUCUGCUGAUAAUUUGUAGCAGUGCAUAUCUGUGUGAGCGGAGCUUUCAACUCCCUGACCCUCUUGUGGGGAUUUCGUUCAUUCAAUAAAGUAACUCUUUGAUUCCUAUUACCUUAACUCUAUCAAAAGAACACAAUGAAUUAAUACUAACUAGGAAUCUUAAUAACACACAACAUACUCCAAAAUAUGACAAAAGAUUUGGUUAAAUGCGCUUAUCUAAAGCAAUCUAGCCAGCCAUUCCCAAUGCGUAACCUAGAAGAGGCCACCUGAUCAGGAACAGUUUCUCUUGAUCCCAAUCUGUCGAUUUUGGGAACAGAAGUUGCAAGAUCUAAGAGGGGCAUCUUGGUAAACCAACAAAACUAUGUUCUGGAUCUGCUUUCUGAUUGAGGUAAGACAGGUGCAAGCCAACUGACCCACCUGUAAAUACUAGUGAAAAAUAAAAUGACAUUCAAGAUGAUCCAAUUGAUGUUGGGAGACAUCAAAAAUUGGUUGGGAAAUAGAGGGAUAUGCAAAUCAUGUGAGGCCAGAUAUUGCUCUCUAUCACUUUGAUGAGCUAUUUAGAACAUUCCUAAGAAUGCUCGUUUGGAACACGAAGGGGACUAUUCUUUGAGAAGAAGAUUCAACACACUCGUGAAGUAUUUAUCAAUGCAGACUGGGCGGAUCCAAUUACUGAUAGAUGAUCUACUAGUAGAUUCUUGAUCAUUUGUAUGGGAAAUCUAGUAAUUAGUGAGUAAAAAGCAAAAAGUACUGCCUUGUACCAUGCUAAAGUGGAGUUUCAUGCUAUGGCUAAUUGAGUUUGUUAGGCAAUUUAGCUCACACGAGCACUAUACGAGCUACAGCUACCACUGGAUGAUCCUAUGAAACUAUACUGCGACAAUAAGGCAACCAUCAGCUUUGCUAACAAUCCCAUCGUGUGGAAAAUGCUUCAAAAAAAGCUAGGAAAUGGAGUGAAUAUGCAGGUCAUGUGUGCCUACCACAUAGUAAGUAGCUGAUGGAAUCAUCUGCAAGUUGGGGUCGUAUAAAUACAUAUAUGACCCAACUUGAGUGUCAAUCUAGAUUUUAAAAGGAAGUACAUAUUCUGUAAUCAGCGAGUAGAUACAACAAUAAAGUAGUAGGAUAUGCUUUAGAAGUUUCCUAUUUUCUAGAGAUUUUAUUUCCUACAAAUAAGCAUGUAUUUAAACUCAGCUUGACAACUUUAUGCAGUUAUCAAGAAAAUGGAUCUUAUUCCUCAAAACUACAAUGUGUUCUAUUUUCAACUCAUUUAUUGAUUGGUUCUGUCACCUACAAUUCAAACAAGUGGGUGGUGCAAUAAGUAAUGGCACGAACAAAGAGUGGCUCUUGGUAAGCUUCUUGGUCGAGAGGGACAUGAACGACCUUAUCCACACUAGACAGGGAUUCAAAGGCUAUGCAAGAAUGUGAUUCUUUAGUUAAGAAGAGCUUAAAUGAUUUGAUGGAUGCUACUCAUACCAACAAAAUGCAUUUUUGGGGAGUCCGUUCGACAACUCUAAAGGUUAUGAAGGUCAUAUCUAUAUAAUAUAUAAAGAAGCAGUUUAACGGCAUCCUAUUUACUGUCAUUUUUCUAACAGAGUCUUUCUAAUAAUUAACAGAAGUUUGACAGUUUAUUUAAAAUUUAUGUUUCUUUUUUCAACUUCAUUAUCCUAUUUUUUCGCUCACAUGGAGAAUACAGUUUUUAUCCUUUUCUUUCCAUCACAGCAUCACUUCCUAAUUUUUAUUAUUCUCUCUCUAUUAUCCGUGGCUAACAAACAAGCCCACGAUCCUCCACCAGAUCUUCCAACAUUUUUUUUUCAUUAAAGAAUGAGAUUUUGUUUUUUUUUGUUUUUUUGCUUUUUUUUUUCUUCUAAGUUAAUUUCUAAAACAUUGUAAAAGGGGGAAAAAAGAAAAGAAAAAAAAGAAAAGAGAGAAACGUUUGCCAUGCUCUCUGAAAUUCAUAGAAUGAGAAUGGAGAAAAGAAAUCAAUUCACACCCGGAAAUAUCGUGAACAUAAAAGAAAUCUCCUCAAUAACAAUAAAAUAUAUAUAUAUAUAUAUGAAUUAAUGAAAAUAGAGUUUUUGAUUGUUUUUAUAUUCAACUAAGGUGUAGGAAAUUAUAUUGAUUCAUUUUAGAACUCUUUAAUACAAUAAAGAAACAAAAUAUUUGAAUUAAUUAACAUUUAAUGAAUAAUUUUCAAUUGCUCAAUAUACUAUAAUUAUGAUUACACUUUAUAUAAAGUUGAAAAUUUACCUUUUUAAAUUUUGGAUUUUUAUUCAGUAAUUGAUGUGGAUUAUUUUAGUUCAUUUUUAGAAUAUAUUUGCAUUUGUUUGUAUUUUAAUUUUGUUAAAUAUUUAUAUUUAUUUAUUUAAAAAUGUCGUUUAAUUUCGAUGUUCGUCGUGCAUCGCACGUGGGUGUACUAGUUAAUAGAUGAAUUGAAGGUAAACCAAACAACAAAACUACCUAGAAUUGAAAUCAACAGUUUAAAACGAGGUUCCAAGGUUUUGCCAACCAAAGCAAAAGUUGUUCUUAAAUGCCAAAGGUAAGAAACUGUAAUCUGACAACUCAAUUACUCCCACUACUAUGGCCCGUCCAAGAGCCUUAUUCUAACUGAAAAUAACAGAUCAUGCCCAUCCAGUAGCAGUUCACCAAGCCUUGUAUAGCUGUUGCUUCUUGUGCGCGCUGCUAGCAACUUGACUUAGGUAUUAGUGGGAUGGGUGACCCCUAGGAAGUAUCCCUAAGAGUGUGGGUAAGAACAAGGCACAACUAGAAAGACUUGUCUUGGUAUGUGGGGAAUAGCAGUCAAUCUGGGAGUGUGGUCUGAGGACAAAUCAAGCUCGUUGUUGAAACGAGGCAUGGACAGAUCAUCUGUGCAAUAUGUAAUGGCACGGAAAAGAAGCAGCUCUUUUCCUACUUCUGCGUUCACGUAAACACAAAUUAAUCUCACCACACCAUGGAAAAUAGGAUUGCCAGGCUAUGUAGGAGCUAAGUGGUAUAGUUGAUGAGAACUAGUUGCUAUUUCAUAUAAACAAUAUAUGAUUUCAAAAAUGAGUAAUCUUCAUAAUGCACCCUAUAUCAUAGGUCAAAGGGCUCAACAAGCUCGUAAUCACCACAUAUAAAUGUAAGUCAUAACAAUUAAUUAGAUUGACUUCCACACAAGUAUAUACUUAAACUAAUUUGAAGCAUAAAUCAUCAAAUAUUCAUUGAUUCAAAUAUAAUUAACACAUUGGAAUUUAAUUGUCUAAUGUUCAAAACUAACCUAAUACUCUUAAAGCUUGUUCACUGCACAUGAUAAAGGUGUGAUAAAUACAUAUAUUAGGCUAAUAUCUUGUUUGAUUCAAAAAUCAAAGCUCACGAUAAAGCAAGGACCCCAUCCAUUAUCCAAAUAAAUGUGAUUAUGUAUCCAACACUUAGAUGGGAUAUGUGUACAAUAGAUAGAUAUACUAAACAUUAAUUUAUUAUUAGACUAAAACUACCAUAAUUGUUUUCUACAAAUGAUUUAAUGCAUCUAAGCAAAUGAAAUUCAAAAUUAUCAUGGCAGUCAUCCUAAUCAUGCAUAUGAAGCCUUCUUGCAUACUAUCAAGCAUUAUCAAGCUAAAUUUAAACAUAUGUAUAUACAAAAGAUAACGGUUUCGAAUUCAUCAUCAAUAGAAUGAUGAAAGCUAAUAUUGUCAAAUUAGUCACAUGUCCAUAUGGAAACAUUGUGUUACAAAAGAACAUUGCACUUCAUGUGAGUAAUCUUUCUUGCAAUAUAAGUAAGUCCCAACUUUUCUCUAUGUUCAUCUAUUUAAAUAAUUCUUAACAAGUAUAAAUUUCAUAAAUAGCUCUAUAAGAAAACAUUUGACAUUUGACACUUAUAAAAAUUUGGUAAAACACUUAUUUUCUUAAGAAGCAAAUUAAUUUUAACGUCUAGAAUGAAAACAAGCACACGGGAUGAUACAUAAAUUACACAUCAUAUGAGGAAUGUUUGCAAGACCGCGGACCAGAAAUGUUAGGGCUAACAAUAGAUAGAACCAAAAAAUAAGGUUAGGGCUAACAAUUUCUGGCUCGAGAAAGUAUCAAACGGAAAACUUCUAUAUGGUUGAUCCAAAAUUAACCCAAACCCGACCAAAAAUCAAGUGGAAUGACCAAAUUAACCAAAAUAUUUAUCAUUGUUUCACUUCUCCAUCUUUUUGCUCAAGUGCUUAAAUACAAAACAUUUUGACUUGAAAAUAAGAAAAAAGAAUCAUUUAGGAAAUUGUGUUCAAUCUUUAUCUCUUAAGUAGUUACUUGUUAGUUAAGAAAUAACACUCAUUUUUUAGUAUAUUUUCUUAUUUAAUAGGAGAUAGGUUAAAUGUCUUGAUUGAAAAAACAUGAAUUGUUUUUUCAAUAAGAAUAUGGUUAUUAAGAAUAUUCCUACAUGUUAAACAAAAUCACGUCGCAGGUGCAUUUAAUUACUCAACCUAGUUAAAAAUAAUAAAAUCUAUUUGAAGCACUCCAUGAAAUUUAAUCACCAAGUACUGGCAAUUAAGUAAUUUGAACAAUGAAGCAUUAUGUUAUAUAAUAAAAUAUGGCAAGUAGAAAUCAGCAUCCAAGCAUUAACCAAACUGCAUCUACCUUUAAGUUUCUAACUUGAUGGGGACAUCCAGCAGGUAUGAAAACAGCAUCACCUACUUUCUGAACAAAUGUCCAUGGUUCAAUUCCUAUGCAAAGAUGAACAAUAAAUAAGAUGAACCCCCAAAACAUAAGUUCUCCACUCAAUUGCAAAUCAGCAACAUGAAGAGAAAGACAAACCAUAUUCCUCCUUAAGUUUCUUUUUAUGUUCCAUAGUCAAGUAAAUUGUUUGAUCGUGAAUAGGAUGGACAACCUGCAGCAGAAUAGUUGGUGAACAUGUAAUAUAAGGCCAUGCAUGCAAGAAAAUAGUGGACGAUACAAGUAAAAUGAUAUCAAGAACACAAAAGAUCUCUAAAAUAAUUACCAGAUGUAGAUAACAAGAAAACACCAGAACAAGUGGCUCAACAUAGUAAAUCCUACAAUUUCAUCCAUAAAAUAAACUAUGGACAGAAGUUACUGAUACAGAUACAUAGAAAUACAAGUGAUAGCAUAUAUGUCUAAGUUGCUUCUGGUAAAGUUGUGAAGGCUCAAAAACUAUUGUAUUACUUUAACCUUUAUAAAUCAAAACCAAAUAGGCCUAGGACAAACACGACAACAUUACUAUAUUAAUGAUACCUGAGACAAGUGUCUACCGAACAUGUGCCUAAAUUCCUUGAAAUGCUUCCUCGUGUACUCCUCCAGUCUCGGAAUGUCUUCCCUCCUAAAAAUAUCCCACAAAGCAGCACCCUCAGGGUUCUGAAAACUUUCCGAGACAAUUCCGUGCAUGCAAUUAUUCUUAUGUUCCUCUUUCCCAUACUCUUCAUUUCGACCACUUUCACUAGCUUCAGAAGCUUCCAACAAAUUCUGUUGAUCAUCACUGUUUAGUAGCUCUCCUUCCGUUCCAUUUAAUGUCUGAGAAUUGCCUAACAUUUCCUUUUCAUCCUGUAUGGCGUGCAGCUUUUGCAGUUUCUUUAUAGUAGAAAAAUGCUUAUGUUUAAGCGGCACAGCUUCUGCAUGUGUCAACACAUUCACCUGAAAAACAGAACCAAAAGAAUUAAAAGUUGAUAUAUUUACAAGGCCAAUAACAAAUAGAGAAUUCAUAUGGUCCAACCAUCUCCUGGAAAACAUCUAAAGGAUAGCAAGCAUCAAGAGGACAUACUGCAUCAGACAUGUCACAAUGUAAGCUUGUUACAGAAUCUCCCCGGCCCAACUCCUGCGCCACUCCAUAAGCAAUAUAUGUUUUUGGCCCCAUAUCUGGUUUUAGAGACCACUCGGGCAGUUUAGUAGCAAGAUUUAAGUACCCACUGCGAGGAUGUGUAUAUUCUUUGAAAGGCAAGCAACUAAUAAACUCAGCUCCAUGACGAGGCAACCGCUCCUCAAACAAGUUAGAAGGAGGCCAGUCUUUCAACUUGAGUAUCUGAGGCCAACCAUAAUCAUCAAAACGACCUUCUGAAUACCCUUUGAAGAAGUUGUAAAUGCUUAUGUCAACCUGCUUGUCAAUUAAAAAAUGAACACCAACAUCUAAAAGCCCUGAAUAAAGAAUGCAAAUCUGGAGAUAACAUGGAUAAGAAAAACAUGAAUAGCCUCCAACAUACUAGUAAAGAGGAAACAGAAUUUUACAUCUCACUACUAAUUUUAGAUCAAUAGCUUAUACAUGCCGAGACAAGCAUUUCAGAUGUAAAUUCUGAUCAAAAUAACUAUACUAAAUAAAACGGAUCUUGCCAAAAUCAAUCUACCUUGGUGAAUGAGUCAUGAGAAGACCAAAGGCCCAAGUGUGAAAAUUUGUGGGCCUGAACCAGUAUUACCACAUGUGCAGCAUAGGCAAGGUAACAUAUUGGAGUGGGAGUGGGGACAGAUACAAGACCAGUUGAUGUCUCUUUUUUUUUUUUUUUUUUUUUGAGAAGAAGACCAGUUGAUGUCAAUUGACUUGUUUUUACAAAUACUAUCUACUGUUGUUCUGAAGCACAUAAGAGAUCUCAUAUAAAAGUGAAGGAUCAGUAUAUGAUCUGACCAAAACUAUAUUUGCUUUAAUAAUUUAGUGAAGCAUCUCCUUCAUAAGAAAGAGAUCCUACAAGAAGUAGAUAAACCAUCAAAUAACUGAAAACUCUCAUGACAAAUAAGAGCGAACUACUCCUCUUAGAACUGACCUGGAAUAUAAAGCAGGCAAACAAUUUCAGGUCUAAGAUAGGAGGUGCACGAUCACAAUACAUAUGCAAGAUCAAUACACCAUUAGUAACUUCUAUCCCAAGCCAUGCAUGUUACCAUUUUAAGGUGAAAAAGGAUGCAGAGUGUUGAAGGAAAAAGUGCCAAAAGUACAGUUUUGGAGGCUACAGUUAGGGAUGUCAAUCGGGCGGGUUUCGGGCUAGCCCUAUCGGGUUAUGGGUUAUUCGGGUGCGGGUUAAUCAGGUUGAAAAAAAAAAAUUCGGGUUAGAAACUUUCAACCCUAACCCUAAAUGUUCGGGUUUCGGGCUAGCCCACUAAUAUAUUUCACUUGACAAUAUUAUAUUUGUAAUAAAUAAACACGCAUAAAUAAGUCAAAUUUUAAUAUCGACUUACAUAAUAAAGAUAUAAACAUGCAACAUUUUGGGCAACGUCAUGUAUGAGAUACUAGUUGAUUUGAUUUAUUUACUUGGGGGUAUACCUAACCCCUCACCCUUGAGUGUUUUGUUUUUCUAUUAUAUAUAUAUAUAGGGAGAGGAUAUUGUGAGAACUUUAUUUUUUUGUGACACCUAAGAACCAUCUUAGGCCAUUGAUUGUGGUUAAUCUAACAGUUGAUAUCUAGAUUAGUAAUCAAUCUAUUUUUUUAUUGGAAAGGUAGAUUUGGUCUUUUUUUUUGUAACCUUGCGCUUCCUAAUAUCAUGCAAACAUAUCUCUUAAUUCCGGAAGGUUAGAAUUUUACCAUAUCAUGCAUUUCCCAUUAUUGCAUGUUUGGAGAUUCGAUAUUUUAAUCAUAUCUUUGAUUCAUCCACUAACACAUGAUUGAAGAUUUAAUUUGGUAGAUUUCUUUAAGUUAAUAUUCAUGCUUAUAAUUCACAUGCAUAGUAUACAUGAACGACUUGUUCAUUUACAGUGUUCAUGCAUAAUGUUCAUGACUUAUUCUUAUUCGAUGUUCAUGACAUACGUGGUGACUUGUUCAUAGACUUUGUUCAUGCAUAUUAUACAUUAACAAUUACUUGUUCAUGUAGUUUAUGACAUAUUCAUAUAAAUGAACAUCUACAACAUCGUUAAUUCAUUUAAAUUAAUUCAUUAUUCAUGCAAAAUAAUCUGACAUAAUUGCUUAGGUGUACUUUCCUCGGUAGAUUUGGGAGCAUUAUUCAUAUAUAUUGAAUAUACAAUCCAAUGUCAUGUAAUCAUUAAACAUUGUUAUUUGUUAAUAUAACAACAUUACAUGAAUUAAAAUAUGAAAACAUCAAAUAAUAAUAUAAUUCACAUGAACAACAAAUAUGAAAGUAUGAACAAUUCCAUUGUUGAUUUAAUCUCCACGAUCUGGGUGAAAGAAAUAAUUUCUUCUCAUGACUUGAAUCGAUUCAAAUGAAAAAGUNUUUUUUUUCUUUUCGUUUUUUGUUUCUAGAAUAUCACUCACAUAGCUAGAAAUAUGGUUGGUUGAGUAAAUUAAGGGAUUUGGUGAAUUAAUUGUGUUGACCAAAAUCCUCAAAUGACAUUCAUGUCCUUUAAUGUUUUUGCAUUCAUUAUAUAUCUACUCACGUAAUUAAGAUACUAAUCUUAAAAUACCCAUCAAAGCCGUUAGAUUAUAGAAGAUCAAAGGUCUAUAGUAGUUCUUAGGUGUCACUAAAUCUUAAAUUCUCACAGGAUACUAACCCUAUAUAUAUAUUAAAUAAGUAUCAUUUUUUAAUUUUUAUAUCUAAAUAUUUUAUGUUAAGUAUUGUAUUAAAAAUACAGAGAAGUGAAAUGAUGAGACUUUGUAAUAUUUUAUCAUUUUUGAAUUUUUAUAUCUAAAUAUUUUAUGUUAAGUAUUCGGUUUCCAGACUAGCCAAUCGGGUUAGUCGGGCUGACCCUAUAGGGUUUCGGGCUAUUCGGUUACGGGCAAGUCAGGUUGUAAUUUUUAUCGGAUUGAAAAUUUUCAACCCUAACCCUCUCAGAUUGACGGGUUAAUCGGGCCAGCCCACGGGUUUCGGGCUGGAUUGACAUCCCUAGCUACUGUACACAAAAAUGUAAAGCUCGAAGGGUUAAGUGUAAAAGAAUGUCCUGAAGAAUGACUCAAGAGUCAUGACAGGCACAAGACCAAAAAUCACCAGAAAAUUCCGCCACAUAUGGGCUUAUAAGGAGAAAUGCAAAAAUGCCAAGGUUGUAGAGUUUAUUGUGUUUGGAUAGCUUAGCGUAGUUCUCAUAUUUAAGAACAUAGAAAUACAUGUAUCAAGUUCUAAAUGUUGAGUUAUUGCAUGUUGUAUGCAGGGCUACAGCAAAAUUGAAGGUAUAAAAGGAUAAACUGAUGGACAAGUGAACUGACCUGACACCAAUCCAAGCAAUUUAGGGCAGGUACAUCAAACACAGCUUCAUGUUUCUGGCCCGUUUUCUGUCUAAAGGCACGCCACAUAACCUUGGGUUCCCAGCUCAAACCAAAUGUAGUGUCAAGUACAUUACUAACAAUCACAGGUUCACCUUUGGACCAAUGCCAUUGAAAAUGCUUUAAAUCAUCAUGCUGCAGAAGAUCUUUAGCUGCUGGACAGUACAACAUAUUGUCACUUGAAUCUGGCCGAGAAGCUGCUUUGCGCAAUGUAUCACUUCCACUCACAUUCUCACUCAAGGAUUUUGAACACAAGCACUCAUGAAAUUUUACUCGCAAGUCCUCAAUGUCUUGUGCCCAGCCGAAUUCUUCUGCUCUCAGCAACAAGUUAGAGACCCAACCAUUUGGAAAUAUGCAUUUCAAUUCAAGAAUUCCUUUUCCACAACCUCCUCGCCCUUGUGGCGGGCAUGGAAUGAUACCCCUUUCUGCAGCUCUCCACUCAGAAUUUGUCUCCUCAAAAUCUGUUUUGAUAUCUUCAACCAUUCCACCAUAAGGUUCAAUCUUAAUCAAAGUAUCUGCUCCGCUAUAAUCACCAUGCAAGUAAGCUAGAGUGUGGUUGUCGCCCAAAUAUUCUGGGGGCACUCCAGUAUCACCCCCUUGAAGAUGUCCCUCCCGAAGCUCUUGACAACAAGUGAGACAAAGAUCAUAGGAGCAGUUUAGGCAGCUUCGGUGAAAAUCAAAAAUAGAUGUUUUACAGUUGUUGCUGCAUAGAUACAUACACAAAUGAUGAUUUUUCAAACUGAGAAGGAAAUUACUAAGGAGACAAUAAUUUUACUAAGACCUACCAGUAUAUCCGUUCAUUCUUCUCACAGAUCAAUUGCUGUGGUAUUAUCUCUGAAACUGGUAAUCCUGCUCAAACAAACUGUAGAUAAAAAACUUGAACAAUUUGAUAGCGUAAUAUAUUUUAAUUCUGAAUGUCUUUCAUGACAAAUAAACGACCAACAUUACUGUAACUAGAAUUGCUACAAUCCCUCCAACUAUGAAUGCUGCUUCAUUAUUUGCAUGCUUAGCAUGUAAAUAAUUAAAUUGAACCAGUGUUUCCAGUUGUUGUUUCCCUAAGAAAAUCCAUGCAUCAAAGCAACUCACUUCUUCCAACUUCCAAGUUCCUAGGAGGAGAUGGGGAGAUUAGUGUAUGACCCAAUCUGCAUUUAACUUUCAGUGGGAUCCGAGCAGGGGGAAUGACCACAGCUUUCUUCUUGAUAAUCCAGAAUGGCAUGUGCUUAUCUUUUGUUGUUCCAAUUUCCAAAGAAAUUUAGUGGAUAUCAAUUCUACAGUCUCAACAGCAUUCACCAAUAUUACUUUUAAUAAUGCCAAAUUGAUCUAACCAGUCUGGAAGAACUUAUUCAAUUUUCUUUGUCUCCAACUUCCACCUCUGCCUCAGUGAGGUUUUUGCAAACACGGACGGUUCAGGAAAAAACCAUACAAACCGAAAAACAACCGAAGUGUCAAUAUUUUUGGAGCGGGUCGGAAAUGGAUUGAAGAACCAAAAGCAAAUCAGUUUACUAAGUUCAGUUUUAAUUUUAACCAUAAACCAUGUGAAAUAUUGUCUGUUCUUUUCUAUUCAAUUCUAUUAAGAGACCUGUUAAUGAAAUUACUCACAAAACAAAAACUAAAUUGACUUUGGUUCAGUUUGGUUCUCCUCACCCCUAGUCUGAGUUCCCUCACAUGUUUUUCUUUUCACCUUUCCACUCUCCAACUAUGUGUUUGUUCUCUCAAAAACAGUGCCUGUUUCCUCUCAUUAUAUAGAGUUACUCGUUUCUACUUUUCAAUGAGUUCUACAAACUCUCUUUCUCCCCUUCAUGGAUUUAAAGUGACUAUGAACUUUUAACACUCUAAAAUUUAUGUAUAUAUAUUAUUUGGUAUUUGGAGAAUAUUGCAGUACAUCUAUAAUCUAUAAUAAAUUAAAAAGAUAACUUUCAAUUUGAAAUCAAUUUUAAAAUUGAAUAGCAAUUUUGUAGUUAUAAUAAAAUUGAAGGUUUAUUUAUCAAUUAUAUCUUUUCAUUUUCUUUUUCUUUUAUUGUUUUAUGUCUUUCUAACAUUGUGAAAUUGGACUAAUCAUAAAAUAUUUAAUUUGCAUAUCAAAUUAAAGAUUACGAUAAGAGCUUUAAUUUGAUAUAUGUUAUGUAAAUCUUUGAUUCAAAAUGUAAAAGUUAUAUUUAUUUUUAAAUUAAAAUUUAAAAAGAUUCUCUCUCCUCUCUCAUUUUUUUGACUAAAUCUAUUUUUAAUUUUUUUUUGUCUUUUUUAACUUAUUUUUUUGGCCUUUUCAUAAUAUCAAUUUUUAUUAUUAUGAUUUCUUCUUUAUUCUUAUAUUUUUUUCAAAAUUCAACUCAAAUAUAUUCAGGUAAAAUUAAUUUUUUUAUUAUAUUUAUUUUAGAAAUAUGAUAAUUGAGUUGAUAUCAAUUUUAUAUAAAUAUAAAAGAGCCAACUUUUGAGAUUGCCAUAUUGAGCGAUGGAACUCAAUAUUUGGUCAUCCAUCUCAAAAACACAAAUUUUGGCCAUUUUUUGCAAUUUCAGACUAUAUUACCCUUAAUUUGGGCAGACCGGAUUGGGUUGGGCGCGCGGGUUCACUUGGUACUUUUGGCACUAACGUUAUAAUUUGGGCCAAAAGUACCAACAGAAAGUAAAACAAAAAAUACUAAGUACUUUGGUACUUUUGGCACUAAUGUUAUAAUUUGUGCCAAAAGUACCAAAUUACUUGGAACAAAAUUAAGGUACCAAAAGUACCACCGAGGUCGCGCCCAACCCGAUCCAGUCCGCCCAAAUUAAGGGCAAUAAGUCCGAAAUUGCAAAAAAUGGCCAAGAUUUGUGUUUAUAAGACGGAGGGUAAAAUAUUGAGUUUCAUUCCCCAAUUACUAUAUUAGUGCAUAUUCUCAAUAUAAAAAUAUAAAAAUAUUUCUCGUGCAUUACACUAGAUGCAAAUGCUAGUUCAUCUAACUUGCUACAUAUGGGUAGUUCAUUAUAAAAUCUUACGAGUUAAUCAAUCGAAUGAUUUAAUUUCAUGAAGAGGUGAAUACUAAUAAAUCCCAAAGUAUCCUAACUAUUGCAUUAUAAAAAAUGACAACUUUCAGUUGCAGGACAAAAUACCAUGUAUCUUAGCCUCCAUUUCCGUCUCAACCAAUUGUUCAGCAUGGAAUCGUUUUAAGAAGGGCAGAAGUAUUUGCAGCAUGUACUUAGAGUAUUGUAUCUUUGCUUCAUCAUUAAAUUUCAAUGUCAAAUCCUUCAAGUGCUGCAAGCAAAUUACGAAACAUAAAUCAGAGAGAUAGAGAGAGAGCAGACAACAGCAUAAAAUACAGCAAGUGGAAAAUACAUAAACCAACCCUCGAUGGUCCAUCUAGCCGCAAGCAAUCCUUGCAAUUGCAGUUGUUACGACAAACAGGGCAAGCUUCAGCAAAAUCCUCUUCCUGCAUAUGAGGGUACCUGAGAUAAGUUCAAUUCAGAAAAUGCAGAGUCCAGGAUAUAAAAAUAAUUAAAAAUAAAGAAGAAUAUAUGAAACCUCCAUCUUGUACAUCCAAAAGGCCCUAAUUUACAUCUCAGAUAAGACCAGGCGAAUUCUAUACAACUUACUAAUUUUUUUCAUGGCAAGAAGCAUAUAAACUGCCCAAGUGUUGUAUGCUACAAAACUGAUUCAGAUCAAACUCUUUCAUUUUGAUAUUGAUUCUAUUCAGUCAUCAAAUCCAGAUCUCAGAAUAUCCAAUUCUUCUUGAACAACUUACGAUGUUUAACACAUGUGUUGCAUGUGCAUUUUUUGGAACUCAAGUUAAGUGACUUUUUUAGACACGCAACAACCAAUUAGAAGACCGUAUAAUCAUAUAAUAGAAGCCAUAAGAUAAAUUACAGCUCAAAUCCAAUCGAAUAUAAGUUCCCAUCAAUAAGUUACUGCCUACCAUCUACUUAUGCAAAUGAGACAAUAUCGUUUACGCCAACACUUGGUGCACCACACGACUUUCCCUUUAUCAUUCCUCUUGCACUGGUGACAAGUGUUGCGGUCAUUCUUCUUCCCCUACAAAAUCAUCAACCGGAAGACAAAUCACAAGCUAUAAAGUUAAUUUAGCCAGAUUAGUUCAGAAAAAACAAACUGAACAUAACAAUAAUCCCUUACAUUUUCCUCACACAUUUCGCUACUAAAGGGAUCAACCUCGGUAUCCUGAUCAUCCCUAACAGUACCAAACAAAUCUCUCCCAUCUCCACCAUUUUCAACUCGUUGUUCUGCUCGAUCUGCCAAUGACUUUCUCCCCGGCCUUCCCUUAGUGCUUUGGCCCUCUACAUUCUUCUCCUCACCCUCGGCCUCACCCCCUAAUCCAGUGUCCUCACUUUCACAACCUUCCUCUUUCUCCCGGCCUUUUUUAGCACCUUGGCCCUCGACAUUCUUCUCCUCCCCCUCGGCCUCACCCCCUAAUCCCAUACCCUCACUUUCCACAUUCUCACUCUCUCUCCAUCGCGCGCUUUGACCCUCGACAUUUGCCUCCUCCACCUCAGACUCACCUCCUAACCCUGUAUCCCAAGUUUUAUCACUCUUCCUCUUCCUCCGCUUCCUAUCGUAUUCCCAGUCGUAAACUUCCUCGUUCAGCUUCACAAUCUUCUCCGUGGCCAGCAAGGACCACGUCCGUGUCGACGCUCUCUUGCUACCGACCACCCGCGAACUGCUUCCUCUCUCCGCUUUACUAAUAUCCUUCUCUUCUCCUUCUACAUCCCUUUCUCUCUCUUCUUUUCCGCAGUAACCGCUCCCUCCGUCCCCAUUAAUGAGCUCCACCGCUUCUCUAACAUCCCUCUCUGUCUCUCCAUCGGUAAACUUGUCCAUACCUGCUUCCCCUCCAACUGUUUCCGGAAAAUUCAGAUCCAUUUAACUCUCACUCUUUGCAGGAUUCCUGACAGUCGCCGUCGGCUGCUGCGUAUCCUUUUUCGAAAAGUUGAAAUUGAAAAGAGCGGACCGAAUACCAAUGAAUUUUGUGAAAGGGCGCGGCUGUUAUUGUCAUGGUUUAAGGAGUGUUUCAAUCUAGUAUUACCCACGUGGCAUCCAUGGAGGCAAUGUAUGUCAAUAUUUUUUAAAUUAUAAUUAUAAUUCCUCCGUCCACGAAAAAGAGUUCUGAUUUCCCUCAAAAAACAAAAAAGAGUCUUGUUUCACUUUUUAUAUAAUUAUACCUUUUAUAACUUUAUGUAUUUACUUUAUUUGCCAUUGAAGGAUCCACCUCGCUAAUUAAAAAUUCUCUCGACUUAAACUUAGGGGGGUGUAUUAGUUGUGGAGUUUAAUAGAUUUCUAUGGAUUUUAAAAGUCUGGGUGUAUUCGUUCCAGACUUUUAAAAGUCUGCAGAAAUCUGGGUGUAUUCGUUCCAGACUUUUAAAAGUCCAUAUAAAUCUGGGUGUAUUCGUUUCAGACUUUUUAAAAUCCAUACAAAUCUAGGUGUAUUCGUUAUUCCAUUGACUUCAAAUCCGGAAUGACUUUCAUGGAUUUCAUCCAAAAAAUACACACGACGAAAUCCGGCCAAGAACCACGAGAAUUGAAAUCCAUGGAGUUUUGAGCGAUCGCUGAGUUCCAGCGCCCGCGGCCAAGAAGCCAGCGAGCGCCUGAACUCAGCACACGUUGAGAAAGACCAGCGCUCGCUGGAUUUGAGCGUGUGCUGGGUUCCCAGCGGCCGCUGGGUUGCAGCGGUCGCUGGGCCCAGGCAGCCCAGCCCAGCAACGCCUUUAAAUACCCCUCUUCGAUUUUUUUACCCCACAAUCUGACAGACGCCUACUGCCUUCAAAAAAGAGUUCAGGGUUCUACUUUACCUUUUAGCCAGGUAUUUUUUCAUAAAUUUUAUAUCUUCAUAGUAUUUUAAUUAUGCAAUUUUUCUAUAGCAUGAAUAUUGUACCUUUAUAAAUUAUUAGCAACUGUAUGUUGUGUUUCUAUUGCAUGUGAGUUGAUUUUGUUUUUGUUGAUGUUUUUAUUUUUAUUUUUAUUCAUUCAUAUAGUACUGUUCGGUGUCUAGUAAUAUUAUUAUGGGAGACUCUCAACCACAAGAAUCCAAAAAAAGGGCAGUGUAUGAAGCAUGGACACAGGAACAAAGUGAUGCCUUGUUACGAAUUCUGGUUGAAUCUGCAAUUAGGGGAUGGCGCGAUAAUAGUGGUAUAUUUAGCAAAGCAACAGUAGAGGAAAGAAUAUUGCCUGUUCUGAAUGACAAACUUAGGUGCAAUAAAAAUUAUAAUCACUACCAAAGUCGUAUCAAAUGGUUUAAGAGCCGUUGGACUGCGUAUUCAAACCUCAUGAAGUCUAACUCUGGUUUUGGUUAUGACAACGACACCAAAAAAUUCACGGCCCCAGAUGAAGUAUGGGAUGCGUAUAUAGAGGUAAAUUUGUUAUCAAUUAUUUUUAAACACAAUUUAAUUUAAAUAAUAUAGUUAAUUAAUAAUUUUGUUAUUUUUUUUUUUGAGGCUCACCCAAAAGAUGCAUACUUACGCACUGGGAGGUUUUCGGAUUAUGAUGACUUGAGACUUGCUGUUGGAAACGGUGUGGCUGUAGGAAGAAACGCAAUUGGAGUUGGCAGUGCUACUGAUGCUAGGACAAUAGGAGUUGAUGAAAGUAGAGGUCCAACCAUAGAGGAGUUGAAUUACGAUACUGCUACUGAGGCGUUUGUAGUACUGGGUGAAGAUGAUCCACCGUUAUCCGGCUCCAAAUCACCUUUGGAGCCCACUGAAGUGCCUGUGGAGUCCACUCAGAGAAUAGCUCCCGCCAAGAGAAGCAGAGGCCAGUUUGAGACAAAUUCAGGCCACUCUGAAAAUAGUUCGCAUCAGGAGCUCCUGGUAGAAAUUAAAAAAGUCACUAGCACAAUGGAUCGAGUUGAAAGCCUCUUUGUUAAACGAGAUACUAUGAUGGAGAAAAGAGAAGAGGAAAAAAGUUUUACAACUUGGGAUGCUAUCUUAGAAAUUCCUGAUUUGAGUGAAGAUGACCGCUACACAGCAUUUGACUUGCUUGUUACAAAGUCACAAAAAGAUGGAUUUAUGAAAAUGACUGUUCCUCAACGCAAAAGAUGGAUAGAAUUCAAGACUAGGAAAUAGAGGAUAGUUUAGUCAUGUUUUUUGAACUAUGUUUUUAUGUUUGUUUCACCAUAUUUUUAUGAGUACAUUGUUUUGUUGGUUUUAUGUUUUAAUACUUUAUUUUGUUGAUUAAUGAAUGGUUUUUUAUUAGUAUUUUUUAAAGGCUAUCUUUUGUGUUUCCCUUUUAUUCUUAUUUCAAUUAUUGUUUCAUUGUUUUAAAUGGCAGCAUGAAUUAUGAAGAUAAAAUUGAAAUUGCAAUUGAAGAAGACAUAGAUGAAGAACUUGAGGAUGAAAUCGAAACAGAGAUGGAGAUUGAACUUUCUGUUCAUGCUAGGCAACUGAUGGAAGCAGCUAAGGUAGUUAUCACUCUAUUGGGGAAUAUGAUGACGCAUCAUCCGACUGCUGACAACGCUCUGAUUUUUUUUUUUUUUGAUCAGGACAAAAGUGAAUUAGAAUUAAAAGAAAGGCACCAGUCGGUACCCAAACAAACUUACAGCAGCCGUGGUAUAACGCCCGUUAGAGCACCACUNUUUAUUCUUAUUUCAAUUAUUGUUUCAUUGUUUUAAAUGGCAGCAUGAAUUAUGAAGAUAAAAUUGAAAUUGCAAUUGAAGAAGACAUAGAUGAAGAACUUGAGGAUGAAAUCGAAACAGAGAUGGAGAUUGAACUUUCUGUUCAUGCUAGGCAACUGAUGGAAGCAGCUAAGGUAGUUAUCACUCUAUUGGGGAAUAUGAUGACGCAUCAUCCGACUGCUGACAACGCUCUGAUGCGACGACCAAAGACUAGGGAAGGAUUCCGUUUAUUAUGAACAUGAUGGAUGGAGAUCCGAGCCAGUUUCGACAGUUGUAUAGAAUGUAUCCUGACGUCUUCAUCAAAUUAUGUCAGAUCAUUAGGGAGAAAGCCCAUGUGGAUGAUACACGAUACACAACUGUUGAAAAAAUGUUGGCAACAUUCCUCAUCAUUGUAGGGCACAACGAUCGUUAUUGUAACGUUCGUCAAAGGUUUGGUCGUUCGCAUUUUGCUGCUAGUCAGAACUUCAACAAAAUCUUGAGAGCAUUGAACACCAUAGCACCGGACAUGAUGUUUAAGCCGACUGGCGCAAUACCCGCUAAAAUUCGGGAAAGUACCAGAUUUUAUCCCUACUUCAAGUUAUAAUAUUUCUUGUCUCUUGUAUUAUAUUUAAAUAUUUUUGGUUUUUGUUAUAACACAUUCACCUAUUAUCUUAGGAUUGUAUCGGGGCUAUAGAUGGCACUCAUAUCUCGGCCACGAUAAUAGGUAAAGACGUGAGCUGUUAUCGUAACCGUCAUGGGGUGAAUUCGCAAAAUGUUUUGGCAGCUUGCAACUUUGAUUUGCAAUUCAUCUAUGUGCUUAGUGGAUGGGAAGGCUCAGCCCAUGAUUCCAAAUUUUAAGUGAUGCGUUGUCUAGACCAAAUGGACUCCACGUGCCUCAAGGUAAAUAUUUUCUAGUAGAUUGUGGAUUUGCUAAUCGUCGUCAGUUUUUGGCUCCAUUACGUGGCGUUCGAUAUCAUCUCAAAGAUUUCGGUGGUGAUGGUCGUAAUCCAAGAAAUGCAGAUGAGUUGUUCAAUCUUCGACACGCAUCAUUGCGAAACGUGAUUGAACGCAUUUUUGGAAUCUUCAAAUCACGUUUCACAAUUUUCAAACAGCUCCUCCUUCCCUUUUCAAACACAAGCAAAGUUAGUUUUGGCUUGUGCUGGAUUGCAUAACUUUCUCCGAAAGGAGUGUCGUUCUGAUGAAUUUCCAGUCGAUGUUGAAGAAGGAAAUAUUGCAGCAGAUGUUGAGAACGAUGCGGACAUUUUGGAUUAUCUUUCUCAAAGCCAGCUGUCUUAGAGGAAUGAAGCUAAUGCUAAUGCUAUGUGGAAGAUAGACACAUAACUGAAACCGAUCAAGACACACAGGCGGAGACCGAAGAUAAUAGUUAGGGAUGUGUUUUUGAUGGAUGUCGUUGAAUUAACGCUUUUUUUUUUCAAUUUGGAAUUUUUAUGGAUGUUGACGUUAUUUGUUUUUUUUUAAUGGAUAUUGGUUGAUUUUAUUGAGCAUGAAUUAUAUAAUUAGGGGUGUAUUAGUUGGGGAUUUGAUGAAUUCCACGGAAUUGAGCAUGAAUUAGGGGGUAUUUGUUUGGGAUUUGAGUAAAAUCCGAGAAUUCGAGCAUUCUGAAUUAGGGGUCCAGCGGCCCCUGGAAGGCAGAACACGCUCCCAGCGUGCUCUGCCUCCAGCGGCCGCUGGACCCCUAAUUCAGAAUGCUCGAAUUCUGUGGAUUUUAAUCAAAUCCCAAACAAAUAACCCCCUGAUUUAUGCUCAAUUCCGUGGAAUUCAUAUUUUUUUGGGUUGCUUAUGUUAAGAAUUUGUGUAUUUUUUUUAAUUUUCAGUUCAUCAUACAUUAUAUUCAUGUAAAAUUGUAUGAUCAUACUAAAAUUCUUUGACAUGAUUAAAAUGUAAUGAAAACAUGAAAAUCAUGAAUCAAAUGCAAACAUAAUUCAUGAAACAACAUUAAUCAUUGUCAAAGAUAAAAUUAUCCAAACUCAUAAAACAAUGUCAACAUUAAUAUAAAAACUCAAAAAACGUGGUCUCCAAGAAUCCCACUGGCGCUGCAGCUCGGCAAUCUGCUGGUCUUGUGCAUCAAAGCGAGCAUUCAUAUCAUUCCUCAUUGAUGUCAUCGAUGAGUCAAAAUGAGCUCGGAAUGCUCCCAUGGAUGAAUCAAAGUGUGCACGGAAUGAUGUGAGAUCAUUAUGAACCUGCUGAUGGUAGUCUCUCGGGAUUGAACCACCAGCUGCUCGCUCUCCAUUCCCCUCGUCUUCUUCCUCUGCCUCUUCGGCUUCCUCUUCAGCUUCUUCUUCGUUCUCCUCUUCUUCAUCAUCACCGGCGGUCCCAGAUGGACCAGCACCAGGAUCAAUGCGGGGACGACGGCCUGCUGCAAUCUCGGAGUGUAUGUAGUUAACUACACAAGUCCUCUUCGCAUGAGGAACCAGCGUGUAUUGGUCAUAAAUCAAUUGAGCUGCUCUGAGCUCAUUAUAAUCAAUGUACUCCGCAUCCAGCUCAUCCUGACCAUGGAUAGGCCCUUCUGUCGCAGCAAGAACUCCAUUCUUGUGUGCCAAACCAGUGAUAAUAGCAGCGAAAGAAGCAUGGGCAGUAGGGCGCUUCUUCGCCCGAAUCAUAGCAGCCCAAAUAAACUUUGAGAUGCACACUUUUGUGCCAUCUAAAGCACACUCCAGCAAAAAUACCUCAACUGCAUUAACCUUAUUCGCCUGCUCCUUUCCAGACACAUUAUAUGCAAGAAAUUUAUGAACAAUAGCUAAUGCCGGAUCCUUAAUGUACCCACUAGGCAUACCCGAACUAUCCCAAUUAUCACAGUCAGUCAAUCGAUUCCACGCUUGAUUAACAUUCCAUCCCCGAGUUUUAUCAGAUAAUCCACCAAUACUGAAACCAAAAACAGCUUUCAUUCUAGCCAAACUAAUGCGAUACUCUCGCUCAUACAUCCUAGCUUUAAUCCAUUUCAUAUCACCAGCCAUUUCCACAGUAGUCAUGAACUCAUAACAUAAAGGAUCAUACCCAGAAAAAUCAAUAGUUUUAGCAUAUUUUUUCAUCCCUAGAUUUUGCAAAUACAACUCAACUUGCUCCUCAAGAUUCAAAUCAGUAAUCAACUCCCAAUCCAAGUAAUGCGGAGGAGUAAUAUAGUUCUCGUUAAAUUUCUUAAAUAUUUCUCCCUCUAAUUCGCUUUGCAAUUCAAAUGGACAUUCAUACCUUUGGCUCAAAGUAAGCUCCCCUCUACCGACGUUUACGUUCUUCGUUCGGACCAUUAUAUCGUUGAAGGUGAUUUUAGAGGGUAGUGGUAUGGAAAAAUUGUAGUUGAAGGUGAUUUUUUGGGGGGGAUGUGCUGGAGCGGCGCUGGAGAGGGGAAGAGUGAAAUUAGGGCACCAGCGCUCGCUGGCCCUUUAUAUAGUGUUUAUUUGGUUCCAGCGAGCGCUCGCUGGGUUUCCAGCGCUCGCUGGAUUCCCAGCGCUCGCUGGGUUUCCAGCGGUGCUGGGUUUCAGCGUGCGUUAGCAUCAUGGAUUUCAAUUCAAGAAUUAUCCCCCAAAUUCUUCGAAAAUCAGUAAAAAUCGGGUCAAAUCCAACCACGAAUUCUUUGAAAGUCAUCUGGAAAUCGUCUGGAAUCUAUGUGAAUUCCAUGGAAUUUAAAAUCCAUGGACUUUUUAAAGUCUGUGGAAAUCUACAACGAAUACACCCCCCUAAGCUAUGUUAAUUACCAAUUAAAUUGCCUAAUUCUUUCCUUAUUUGGAAGUGGGUGUCACAACCCGACCUAAGCUAGUGAAUAGUUAAGUCGGGAAAAAGGUGUGACUGAAAACAAAAUAAGAAAAUGAAAACGAAAAUAGAUCUCAAUAAAAAUCACUAACCUGCUUAAACAAUAAUUUACCAAAAUAUUUGGUAAUCAUAAACAACACAUCAGUAAAGUAAAACGCACUAAGCGUUGCAGCGGAAUAGCUUAAGUGGAUUACAUGUAUGAAGACAUGGAAUCCUGAGCCUAAUUUAGUACUUAUAUAUCAAAAGCUUUGCUCUGCUGACAUCCAUCUACAUCACAGCUUAACCUGCACAUUUAGAAAACAUAUGCAGGGCUGAGUACUAAAAAGGUACUCAAUGGUCACAUGCCGAAAUAACUUGAAAGAUUGCUCUUAGAGCUAUAAAUUGAACUUGCCAUCUCAAGCAUCACACAGGAGUUUUACUUAAAUAACCUGUGCACGCAAAACUGUAAAACUUUCAUGUAAUUAUCAUAAACUUCACAUGCGUCUGCAGACAUACUUCUUUGUACUCUACCAUAUCCGCAAUGAUAACUGUGUGCCGAGAAGGUGGCCACCUUCUACGGUCACUGACCGGCCGAUACGCUAAACCGGCUCACGGUCUUAGACCGGCCGAUACGCUAAACCAGCUCACGGACCUAGACCGGCCGAUACGCUAAACCGGCUCGCGGUCCUAGGCCGGCCGAUAUGCUUGAUCGGCUCACGGUCCCUUGUGUACACUAAUCCUGUCUAACAUCUGGAUAGAACAGGAUCCGAAUUCGAUUACUUCUGGUGCCAGAUAGGUAUCAUACAAGCUCAUAAAAGUUUUGGCAAGUCAAUAACUUUAAUAUAACUUUAUUCAUGUAAACAUCAUGAAAUAGUGUGUACUUCAGAUUUUGAGUUUAGAAAGCCCACCUGAUCGUGGUCUGACGACACAAGUAACUCUGAACUAAUGCUUUACUUCUUUGCCCUUGUAUUUGACCUUCAGUAUAAAUACUGACUAAUAAAUAAUGAGAACAUGAUGUGAAAUUUAUUUAGAGAAUAUUUAUGUUGGUUUUAAGGUGAUGGUUCUACUGAAAAUCUUGGCAUGAAGACAAGUUGCUAUUUUGCAAACUUAUCAACAAAUCUCAAUAUAGACUUAAACUGCGAUGAUCAUAAUCCUGGCAUUAAUCAUAACUUUACUUACACUAAUGAAAUAAAUAAUUAUUUACUUAGGGACAAUAUAAAUCCCUUCUUUUCCUCUUCUUUAAAGAAUAUAAUUUCGAAAUAAUCUAAUGUCUAAUUUAUGCAUAAUUAGACUGGAUAAUAGCAUAAAUUAAUCAAUCAAACUAAAUUUUAGUUAAUAGCUAAUAAUCCCUCGUAUAAGAUUAUUAAGCUCAAACUAAUAAACUACUACUCAGUUCAAUUAAAACAAUCCUAUUACCUAAUUAAUCAAAAGCCCAACAGAUAGUCACUUAACUUAGCCCAUUAGAGAAUUAAUAGGCUCCUCAAAAUUAACCUGAGCCCAAUUAAACAAAUUAACUAUUUUCUGAUUUAAUAAGCAAUUUAGAAUUUUAGAAAACAUUUUAAUUCUUCUUCCUUAACUCAUUCAAUUCUCUUUUAUUCUGAACAGAACUCUUUUCUCUCUCUCUCUCUGCUCUCUACCGCCCCUCUCUGUCCCUCUCUUUCCCGGCGAGCGUCGCCGGCCUUUACGGCCUCCGGCGCGGCGAGGUCGGCCUCUUCUCUUCCCCCUUUUUUUCCUUCCAUUUCUUCUCCUCUUUCUCCUGAAUUUAGAAUAGAUCUAGGGUUUCUAAAUUUCCUGAAGUUUGUUCCUCCGGUGAACUCCGCCACUGCCGCCGCCGUGCUCGUCGCGCCGCCACCCCCUCUGAUUCAGGUAAGCCUCCCCAUCUCUCUUUCUCCUUUUCUUUCUUCCUUUCUCUGCUCCUCUAUCUCGAUCUCUCUCUCUUUUCUGGUCAGGCCGCGGCGGCCGCUGCGAGCCGCGACAGCGCAUGCAGCGCCGGUGGUCGCCGCCGCCCUGCACUCCCCUCUCUCCC
rnacentral:lncRNA from 1 species